GAGAGAAAAAAGAAGAAGAAGAAGAAGAAAAUGGGGCUGAAAAACUUCACUGCCAUUUUUCAAAAUCAGACGACCCGUUUCCUUUCAAAGGGUAGCCAAAAAGUUCCCAUACACACCCAUUAGCGAGCUUCUUCUUUACCAAAAAAAAAACUAAAAAAAUUAGAUCAUCAUUUUCAAACCACCUUCUAGCUAGAACUGGAAACAAAAAAACAGUACAGACUCUCUCAUCAGCGCUGUCUCUUUACGCCACCCUCGAGUUACUACUAUCUUGCCCCACGUUGACUCAAGGAACCAUAGCCGCUGCUUCCACAGUACCGUUAACCUGAGGUGUUCAUUACCGGAAUCAUAACACAAGGCAGGCCAGGAGCCCACUCACAUCGUCCAUGUGCAUCUUCAGCGUGCUCGUUUUACAUUCUUGCCUCUGACCUCUCUGGACUUAGCUUUAUUCAAGCACUAGCCACUCAAAAAAAGAGUGAAGAUGAGGUACGGGAUAUCCAGUGGAGCUGUCUCCAUCAUAAUCACUCAAGGUAUAAAGCUUCUACCUAUUCUCAUGUAGUUGUAAUCUUUUACAUGUGCAUGCUACUGCAAAGGCAAGCUCCCGUUUUUCCUUUAUGUGCUAUGAAGUUAACAUAUAGUGUUGUAAGGUGUGUGGAUCGUCUUUUAAGUCCUAACCUGGUCACGGGUGUUCUUUCACUUGCUACGGGUACUGAAGGGGAUGGGGUGUGAUUUUUCCUUCAAGCGCAUAUGGUCUUGAAAACUUGAUUGCAUGUCCUAAGUUCAUGUUAAGACCUUGCCUAGUUAAUUAAGAAUGCUCUUACCCAAGGUUAAAGUUCAAGAACGGUAUGAGAAUGCUCUCUCAUUUUAUUUAGAUCGCUCAUUGAUUAUAAUAUUGUUGACUUAUUUUAUUAGAUUUUAAUGUAAUUUAAUUUCUUGACUAGAAUUAUCAGUAUAUAAUUAGUUAAAAAAUUAUUUAUGAUUUUAUGAUUUUACGAUCUGAGUUUAUUUUAUAUUUUUCGUGUCGUGUCAAAAAAUAUUUUUGACAACCUUGAACCCAGGAUCUUGACUUUAUUGAUCCACAAUCCCCAAACCAUAUUCGCAAACUAAAACUUUUUUUAUAUAGUUUAAAACAAGCACCUCGUGCAUGUAUUGAUUGCUUAGUGAAUUCUUAGUUUCUCAAUGGAUUUUAUAUUCGUAAAUUUUUAAGUGAACCCAGGUUAUAUUAUCAUGAUAACUAAAAUAAAAUGAGCUAAAUUUAUUUAUAAAAUGAGCACCACACGCUUAGAUUUAAAUUCCAUAGAAAGAUUAGCACCUGAUGACAAGUUAACUCGGGAAACAAAGGUAAUAACAAUGUUUUGAGAUUGAAUUCGACACUAGGUCUACUUAGUAGUUAGUACAUAUAAGUUGAAGGAUUGCUACCUUGACCAAUGAACUGAAAAUAUCUUUAAUUUAUAAUGAAUGGCAUACACCAUACAGUUUUACCAUAUCAACAGCAUGAAAAUUGAUAAUCGAUCCUUUAGGGAUAUUAUUCCAUUUCUUUAUUAAUUAUCAUAAAAACAUUUAUUAAAUGUGUUGUCCUCCAACUCUUUCCAUAAAAAGAAAGAGUUGUGAACCACAACAUACAUUUGAUCAUGGACAAAAGGUAAUCAAAUAGUUGCCUCCACUAGGACAAGUAAACGUGCUCGAUUUAUCAUCAAAAGCAUAACUAUAAGCUUGAGGACACUGCUGCUUGAAAGUCAUCGAAUAUUGGGUAGGAGGACAUGUUUCAGCUGUAUUAUGGUCUCCUGUGCAGCAGUACUGCGGCUGGUUAAAUGCCAAACACGCACUCUUGCAGGCAAUCACAGUCCCAUCUGAACCUUUCACUGCUAAACUAGGAUCACAAACAGCAUUCACGUUAGCUGCACAGCUUGUAGAAGGGCAGCCAGUAGAACCUCCUUGCGGGGUUACCGAAAUUGGGAGGUUAAAGCCAUCAACAAGGCUUAUAUCGUAAUAAUCUUUCCCACCAUCACCGCUUAGAGUAAAUUCUGCCAAGGAUGCUGGUGGGAUCGCACCGGCUCCAUUGCAUUCUAUGACACCAGAGGCACAGUCAGCAGUAGCACAAACAAACUUUCCCGAGGCAUCUGUAGAGCAUUGCGUUCUGGCCCACAAGCGGCCAGACCAAUUGACAGGGACACUCAGCGAAGAUGAAGCACCCGUUGCCAAUGUGAAGCCAGUUGAAGAUAAAGACGGACCGCCAGCAGCCGUUAGAGUUCCUGGCCAGACUGUGUAUGGACAGUUGUUUUUGAAGUCGAAAGUCACAGAUUGAGCUCCUGCAUGCGUGCAAGAUUUAUUUUUGUUGAUAUCAAUAAUUAAAUCUUGGUCGAUUCAAAGAUAACAUAAUUCAAUAUUUAAAAUCUUGUAUUAAUUCAGUUAUUUUUCUUUUAAAAAUAUAACAUAACCCAGGUUUUUUUUUAAUAUAUUUUUUUCUUUCUUGUUUUUUAUCUGGAAACUCUCCCUCCUGGAUAAGUUUAUUGGAUUCACGAAAUCCAUUGAAUAAUGAAAACUAGUUAAUAUUGCAUAUGCAAACAGAAAAUAUAUAUGUAGAAUAAUCAAAGUGAAUAAUAUGCAUAAUAGAGUUUUCCAUGCAAGAAUCUAAUAUAUGUAAUAUUGUAAAAGUACUUGCCAUAGAAGAAGAUGACGAGGGUGAAGGUAAUUAUAGCAAUGGGCAUACGACUCUCCAUUGCCGAGAUGCGUCGAAUUAAUUAAGACCUUUUCAGUAUCUUUCAAGAGAUUUGAGGUAAGCAAGAAACACUCUAUAUUUUAAAAAUAUUAUGAAAUGAGCAGACUUAAUAAAUAGUGUUAAAUUUGCAGACUAGUAAACAGAGGAACGUCCUGCUUCUGAUCACGUCAAAUGAAAGCAACACCCCAUUGAAUAUUGAAUGUAACUCUUGUCCAGCAGACGAGCCGUGAUGAAUGUGACACUCUUCAAAAUUAUCACACCGUGAUUAAUGCGAGAUUCUUCAAAAUUAAAGAAAAAAAAAUCACCACCUAUUAAUUAAAAAAUUUAGAAUUCAAAAAUAGACAUUGGUUAGAGAUUUAGGCAUUCGGGACAACUCGCUCUUCUGGCACCAGCACAGCACUUCGUCGAAAAGAAACCCAAUGAAAUAUACAAAUGCCCUUGGUUUGAACCACAAUAUAAAUGAAUUAUAUUCCACAAAACAUCGAAAGAUGUACUUUUAAAUUUAUUUUUUAAUAUUUUGGAUAAUAUAUUUAAAUUAAAAUUUUACUGUUAACUUCAAAUAUUCAUGUACAUGAGUUAAUAAUUGAUCUUAAAAAAAAAUUAUAUAUUUAUUUAAUAGCUCAGGACACGAAAACUUCUUUGCUCCGCCCUUGCUAAUAAUCAUCUUCCACACGAUGACAUUUGACAAUGAAUAUCAAAUUAUAAAAUUAUAAUUUAUUUAUAUUUAUAAAAAAAUAAAUUAUAAAAUUGGGUUUAUCACUUGAAGUGCGCGUAGACCGUCCAUGCAAUGACAUGCACUCAUCAACUAUUUUUAAUAUUAUUUAUAUUUAUUAAAUUAUAAAAUUAGAAAUAAACCACCCUGAUAACAAAAAAAAAAAAAAAACCCAAUGAAAUAUACAAAAGCCCUUAGUUUGAACCACAAGUGACUAACUAGAUAUCUCAAUUAACGAGAAAGCAGACUAGAAAACAGGCAAUUAGAGAAACGUCAAAUGAAACCAACACCCAAUUGAAUAUUGAAUGUAACAGUACCGGUCCCUUGUUUGAACCACAAGUGACUAACUAGAUAUCUCAAAUUCAAUUGAUGAGAAAGCAGACUAGUAAACAGCCAACAGUGGCAGUUCUCCUCAGGCAUUACACCGUGAUGAGUGCGAGACUCUUCAAAAUUAUCACACCGUGAUGAGUGCGAGACUCUUCAAAAUUGAUGAGAAAGCAGAGUAGUCCCUGGCUUCUGGAAUGAAUGUAACUCUGGAAUUAUUCCAAAUCCAUUUGUCUAAUGAAUGUUACUCUGGAAUUAUUCCAAAUCCACAAGUUUCAUAAUGUUGUGUUGAUUGUGAGACAUUAUUAUUUCAAAAACUGAAGGGGAUAAAAUUAUAAAAGAAUUUUAAUUUUAUAAAUUAUCUAAAAAAAAAAUAAUAAAAAUAAUAGGAACCAAAUUCGAAUGAAUAACAAAUUAAAAACGUACUUUGAAAUUUUGAAGUGCCACGUACGGAAAUCAAGAAAAGAAGAAAUAAGACAAAAAAAAAGAUUGUCGGUAACAAACUGAAAACUAUCUACAACACGUGCCGCCUCAUCCAUGACAGCAAUUGGUCAAUGAACAUCCCUGCACGCACCACUUGAUGUGUGUGGAAUUGCCCACGAACUAACCUGAACUCAUCAACUAUUUUUUUUAAUAUUAUUUAUAUUUAUUAAAUUAUAAAAUUGGAAAUAAACCACCUUGAUAAAAAAAAAAAAAAAAAAAACCCAAUGAAAAUAUACAAAUGUCCUUGGUUUGAACCACAAGUGACUAACAAGAUAUCUCAAUUAAUGAGAAAGCAGACUAGUAAACAGCCAAUUAGAGGAACGCCCUGCUUCUCACGUCUAAUGAAAGCAAUUGAAUGCAGGAAUAGGGCCAUACUCACAAGAAAAUUGAUUUACACCUGACAUAAUAUUUUGUAAGUGUAAAAGCUAUAUUUCUGUGUCUAUAAAUAUCAGGUAGAUUUUUUUAUGGAAAUAUCUUGUAAAUAAAUAUCAAAAUAUUUAAUAUCGCAAUUCAGAGCAUAUAUCUAAUUGUGUUUAAUAAUUUUUUUAUUUGAAUAAAUUUGUAUUUAACCAAAAGAUUAUCCAUGCCGAUAAAACGAUGUCUACCAAAUAUAUAUUUUUUUAUUUUGUAUUUUAAAAUAUUAUGAAAUGAGCAUCACUUUCCUAUAUUUAUUUAAUUAAUUAAAUUAAAUUAAAUGAAAAAAAUGUCUAUAAAAAAGAGAAAUUAAAAAAAAACAACAAAUAAAAAUACUCGAGAUAUCCCGAGUCAUUUUCAAAAUAAGUGAAAAAUCUUAUAGAAAGAAAAAAAAAAUCAAUGGAGCCCAAUAUCUAAUUAAAUAAAUAUUAAAGGAUGAAACUAAAAUAAACAUGAGCUUAAAAAAAGGGAAAAAACCAAGCAAACUCGGGUGAACCUCCUAAACCUGAGUUAAUCUCUAAAACUCCCAACUUAUGAAAUCCUAGACUUGAACUUGAUUAAGAAGCACAAUUCUCAACUAAUUUAAUGUUGAAUAAUGAAAACAGGAAAAAAAAUCAAUUUAAAAAAAAAAUUGCAAAAGUGAAAAAAAAGUUAGCAAUCAAAAGAAUGAGGAAUCAAAUCUGAUAGGAAAAAAAAACUUAUGGAGGAUGAUAUUGUAAAAAAAUAUCAAAUUAAAAAAUUAUCUCAAAUAAAAAAAUAGCAAUCAAAAGAAUAGGAACAAAAUUUGAAAGAUAAAAAAAUUAAAGGGGUAUGAAAUUGUCAAAGAAUUCUAAUUUAAUAAAUUAUUCCAAACAAAACAAAUAAUGAUCAAAAGAACAGCCACCAAAUCUUAAGGAAUAACAAAUUGAAGGCAUGCUUUGAAAUUUUGAAGGGGCACAAGCAAGAAUCAAUGAGAGAAAAAAGAAAAAGAGAAAGAAAAGGUUGUCGGCACCAAAUUGAACAACCAGUUCACUUGGUAUUACCAAACGGUCGACCGGACCAACUUAAAUUCCAGAUUUUGACAAUUUAAACCUGCUGAAUCUUGAACUGAUACUAAUCCUAUAUACAUGUAGAGUGAAGUGUUUGAGUCAUUUUAAUUGUGCUAUUAAGCUAAAAUAUAAAGAUUUACAAAAUCACUUAAAUGAACAAUUAAUUCUUAGUCUUCACUUGUUUUGCAUCUUGGAUAUCCUCAUUGAUUUUUUCAUGACAUCCUUCAUGCUUGUUGAUGUCAAAACUAAUUUUUGGGUUAUUCCCCACCAUUUUUUACCUUAUUCCUUUUCAAAAUAAAAAUAAAAUAAUAAAAUAAUAAUAGCAAGGAUACUAGCGACGUAGAAAAUGUUGGCUGGGGAAGGAUUUUAAAUAUAGAAAAAUUAAAGUUUUGGAGUCAAUUAAGGGCUGCAUUAAUGAAAUUUUCAGCCAAGAAUCAUUUUGAAAAAGGCAAUUAGGGACUUGAUUGAAGAAAUACAAAACCAAGGACCAAAUUGGAAAAGGCACGUGAAUAUAAGGGUUGAAAUUGACCGAAUCAGGGACCAGAUUGAAGAAAUUGGAAGUUUGUUGAUCAAUUGAAGGUCAAAAUGCACAAAUUCAAAACCAAGGAUCAAAGUGAAAAAGGCAACCAACUUCAAGGCUGACAUUUGAAUUUGAAAAAGAUGCAAUUGAAUUAAUUCUUAAAAUCAAAAUCUAAAUCGAUGACUUAAUUGAACAAAUAAAAAAUUGAGGACUGAUUUGGAGAAAAGGACUUCUUAGGCGCCAUUUUUAUUUAAAUGAAAUGGCGUGUUUUGUACGAAAACGAUGCCAUUUCAAGUAUUCUUAUUCCAAAAAGAAAAAAAAAAGACAAAGCUCAAAAUGGUGUCAUUUUGGAUGGCACUGUACAUCUUCUACUUCCCCUAGACGUGCUGUAGGCAGGGGAAAAAGGUUUUUUUCCCAUCCUUUACAGCACCUUUCUCUCUCCCUCCCUCCCUCUCUCUCUCUCUCUCUCUUUCUCUCUUUUUCUCUCUCUCCCACUUGCCUAAAAACCCUAACACAACCCACACCCCCUCAUGGCCUACCACCAUGAUGAAAGGGGCAGAGGGAACAAGCCUUACAGGCGACUCUGGGGCGGCUACACAGUGGACGCCCUAGCGCUACACUACCCCUUCAGCAUGACUAGACAGGGGUAGGGCAGCUCCCCCCCCCCGCCCUUUAUAAAUACCAUCCUUACCAGGAGGUUGGGGGGCGAAAGAAAGAAAGAAAGAAAGAAAAAGGAAAAAGGAACGAAACAAAAAAGAAAAGGAAAGAAAGAAAAACAAUGGAAAACAAAGGAAAGAAAGGGAAGAAAAAGAAAAACAAAGAAAAAAAAGGAAAGAAAACAAAGGAACACUCUUUGGCCUCUACUCGGAGAAGAAAAGGAACCUCUUCUCCUCAUCUCUCUUGCUAGUUAGUAGCAGCAGCCACCAUUCCUCCUAGUCGCCACCGCAACAAUGCCACCGUCAACAUCAGCAACCAUGCUACCCUCACUCCAAGUAAUCUUCUUCCCCUCUAUGUAACAUCUUCUUACCUGUUUUCCUUCUUCAUUUCAUUUGCAUGCAGAAUAUGAGCAAUUCACAUUCUGCAUAGUAACUAAUUACUGUGCUAAGCACAGUAACCAUUUAAUGGUUUUUUGGGCUGGGUCUAGCCUUAUAAAAAAAAAAAGAAUAUGUUGGGUCGACAUCGGCCCAACUCUUUUGGGCUGACCUCGACCCAAUUUCUUUUGGUUUGUAUUUUUACACUAUAAAUAUACAAAAUUCGUUAUUAAAAUACUUGUUUUUUCUCCAAAAUGUUGCAAAACAAAUAUAUAGAAAAAUAACAAAAAAACAUUUCUUGUUCUCAUGCAUAUGACCAAGUCUAAAAAAUAUAAGAAAUUUCAUAUUGUAUUUUCAUACAAAAUAAAAUUCAAAAAAAUAUGUGUUAGCAUGCAUUCUAGGCUUUAAUAACCAGUUUAUUAAAGCAAUCAGAACUACGCCUAUAUUUCAAAAAUACUAAAAAAAUAUUUUGUUUUCUUUUAGUAUCUAGGAUUAUAAACUUAUACAUAAGACGUAUUAUGGAUAUUAAAUAAAAAGGUAGUUCUUUUUUUUAUAUGUAUUGACAUUAGAACGGUUAGGUUUUUACCUGAUAAUAUAAGGAUCUCCUUACUAAGGAAGACUUUUCCUAAACCUUAGACUGGCCAACAAUUAGAAAACACAACAAUAUGUUAGUUAUAUUAGAUAAUUAAACAAUGCAGAUUACCUUAGGUAAGACGCAUUAAAGGUGCUAAUACCUCAUGUGAAACUUCAGAAAUUUAUAAUUUAGAUAUGUAGAUGACUUGGUGGAAACUCUGUAAAACCCCAACAAAAGACUUCACCAUGAUGAAUUGAAUAAUGAGAAAUAAAAUAUAAAUGGUGGUAAAUUGUAAACCCCCAAUCAAAUUUCAUGAUAUUAAUAAAAUUAUUGAUAAUUCAGAACCAAAAAUGGGAUGAUCUAGUUAAAAUAAAAUAAAAUGGAAUAGUAUUGAAUUAUUAGAAAAGAAAUUUUAGAGAGAGAUUUUUUUUGCAUGGUAUUUUAAAAGCGAGCAGCGAAAAGGCAUUUGGUUGAACGAAAAGAUACCUAAACUUGAUAUAAGGGUGUUUUAGUAAAUAUAGAUAGAUUUGCUAUAUAAAUUGCAAAAUUAUGCAGAAAUUAACUAGGAGUGCCGAAUGAAAGGAAAAGAGAGAGAGAGAGAGAGAGUACCUUGAGAGCAGAAAUUCAAACGGCCAUAUCUCUGAAUUGCACUGUUACAUUGGUUUGGUUUUGGGAUAUAUUAUACUUCUCACUACCCUCUAACAUCUAACCAUUCGGAUCUGAAUGUUCUAGUUCGAUGUGAGAGAUAUAGCCCUCACAACAUUUCAAGGAAAAUCUGCUUGCAGGUCAGUCAUGGUCUCUAGCAGUUUCCACCCUUGUCCACCGUUGGAUCCUGCUCAAGUUUGGAUAUGUGGGUCAUAUUGAUGAGCUCUUCAUUAUGAACGGUGGAGAUCAGGAUUAUAGACUCCGAUAAGAAGUUAGUCAUCGAAGAACAAUAUGUUGUCAAUUUUCAGGUCCGUUUUGGUUUUGUCUUGAUCUAGAAAGAUCUAACCGUUACAAUGCUAUGAUGUUUUGGUACGUGUUUCAUGUUAUAAUGGUGGAAAGUGUGGUGGCUUAAUUUGUGUUUAACCAUCAAAAGCAUGCUAUUUAUGAUUUAAAUUGAAGAAAAUCCUUAGUGUCUUUCCUUAGGCAUGUUCAGCUAUAUUAUUGAUAGUAGGAAAAGGGAGAUAUUGGUUGUCCAAUCUAUGAAUUUGGACUUAACAGUUUUAUCACCCACCUUUCAGUUGUGGUUAGGGAGCCAAAAUGAUAAAAUUCCAGAUUGGGUUCUUCACAAAGGUUGUAGGUAUAGAUGUUAUCUUUUAAACAAAACUGACCUCGUAUAAUUUGGAGUUAUAAAACUCCAUAUAUGUGUCGCGGGUGCGCGGCGUCGCGGCGAAAAUUCCACUUUUUAGAAUCUAGGAAGUGUGUAUGGUAUCUAUCUGGUAAAUGUGGGGAGACAAGAAAAUAGUCUUUUGUUGGUAGGAAAAUGGAAUGGGAGUCGCCACCUAGUAUUUUGGUCACUAGGAACCCUAACUGGUCUCAAAGAUUGGGUACGGGGACUGGUUGCGUAAAGGGAAGGUAUUAGCACCCCAAAUACGCCCUACCUAAAGUAAGCUGCAUUGUUUAUUUGUCUGAUAAAAUUCAAGGUCUCGUUGUGUUUCCUAGUUGUUGGUCCGUCUAUGGUUCAAGAAAAGUCCUCCUCAAUAAGGAGGUCCUUAUCUUAAGGGGUAAAACCUAAUCCUUCUAACGUCUAUGUAUGUUGGUCCGUCUAUGGUUCAAGAAAAGUCCUCCUCAAUAAGGAGGUCCUUAUCUUAUCGGGUAAAACCUAACCGUUCUAAUGUCUAUGUAAAAAAACCCAUAUUUUUAAUAUCAGGAAUACGUUUUACGUAUAAAUUCAUAAUCCCAAAUACUAAAAGAAGACAAAAAGAUUUUUUAAGAAUUUUUGAAAUAUUGGCCUAGUUCUCAUGGCUUGAAUAAACUGGUUAUUAAAGCCAAAAUGCAUGCUAAUACAUAUAUUGUUUUGAAAUUUCCUUUUGUUGUGUGAAAAUAUGAUGUUAGAAUAUUUAUAUAUAUAUAUUGGAGAGACUAGGCCGUAUGCAUGAAAACAAAACAUUUUUUUUUGUAAUUAUGUAUUUUUUGAUGUUUUGACGAAAAUCGGGUAUUUUAAUACCGGAUUUGUAUCUUUACCGUAUAAAAAUACAAACCGACAUUGAUCAAAAUACAGUAAUAAAAUUACAACAAAAUCGCAUAUUUUUUAAAUGAUUUUUGAAGAACCCUUUUUUAUUUUUUUAUUUUUUUUUUUUUAAAACAUGUAUACAUAUAUAAAUAAUACAAAACAAUAUAAUAUAUAAAUAUAUAAUAUUAAAUGGGUUGGGCUGGUCCGGCCCAACCAACUGGGCCGGACUCAGCCCAAAAAAUGUUGGGCCGAUUUCGGCCCAAAAUGGAUUGGGCCGAUCUCGGCCCAAAAAACUGAUAUUCUUCUCUGGGCCAGACCCGGCCCCGAAGACAGGGCCGGGCCAGGAUCUGCCUGGACCGGACCAAACGGGCGGGGGGAAUUAAUUCCCCCCCCACCCCUGCAUGCAGAACGCUACUCGUUCUGCAUGCAGAGAAGGAAAAAAAAUAAACACCAGAACAAGGGGGGAGGAAGAAUUACCUGGCGCGGAGGAGGCGAUGGCUUGCUGAUUGGAAUGCUUCGCUGGUGGUGCUGUGGUGGAGGCCGGUGGCGGUGUCAUGGCUCACGGACGGCGGCUCCAAGCGGCGGUGCUGCUAUUUCAAACGGUGGAGGGUGAGGUUACUGCUCUUCCCUUCUCCUCCGUAUGCCUUCCUCUUCUUUCGUUUUCGGUGGUUUCCUUUUAUCCUCCCGGUUUGUUGUCAAGUUUCCUACCCCGUUUCAAGCUUUUCCUUCCUCUCCGUUUGAGUUUAUCAGUGGUUCCCUUUUUAUUCGGUUCUGUUCUCUGUUUCUCUCUAUUUCCUCUUCUUUCGGUCCUCUCCCCUUUCUCCUCCCUUUCUUCUGUGUUCUUGGGUCUAUUUAUAGAGCCAAGAGGCGGGGCUUUUUAUGGCUGCACAUGGGGGGCAGGGGCUGCGGCGGUUGGUCGGCCAUUCGGGUGCAGCUGUCGAGACGUUACUCCCCUGUUUUCUGCAUGGCGCGCGGCGGGUGGUCGGCCAGCGGGCGUGGCUGGCGAGGUGCGGCUCCCUCGGUUUCCUGGCAAGGCAUGUGGUCAAGAGAGAGGCAGCACCGGUUUAAAGAAGAAAAACCAUUUUUCUUCCUUCUUCUGCAUCGCGUCCAGUGAGGAAGAAGAAAGGGGAACAGUGUCGUUCAAAACGACACCGUUCCGAUCUUCUUCUUCUUCUUUUUUUUUUUUUUUUUUGGCAUGAAACGGCGUCGUUUUAGGCAAAACGCGCCGUUUCAUUUAAGUCCAGCAAGACGCCAAAACGCGUCAAUUUGCAAAGCAGCCCUCAAUUAUCUUCUUUCCUUCAAUUGCAUCCCUGCCAAUUUCGGUCUCCGCCCCUAUAGUUGGCCGCGUUUUUCACUUUGGUCCUUGGCCUCUGAUUUAUGCAAUUGAGCCCUCAAUUGAUUAAUAAACUUUCAAUUUCUUCAAUUAGGCCCCUGAACCGAAUAAUUGCAGCCCCUCCAUUUACGCGCCUCUUCCAAUUUGGUCCCUGAUUUCGGAUUUUCUCAAUUAAGUCCCCAAUUGGCCCUUAAACUUCAAUAUUUAUGCAAUUAAGCCCCUGAUUUGACCUAAUAAAUUCCUAAAAAAUAUAUUUUGGCCCCAGAACUUAAAUUUCUUCUAAUUAAAACCCAAAUUGACUUAAAAAUCAAUUUUUCUUACAAUCAAAUCCCCUAUAAAUUCAUUUAAAAAUCCAAUUAAGUCCAUAAACAUCCAAAUUUGGGCUUUUCUCCUCAAAUUUCAAAAUUCCCCUCUCAAUAGGGCUCUCAUCCUUCAAGAAUAUACUGUCCUAACUCCAAUCUUUGUAUUUUUAACCUCAUUGACCAAUUUUCCAACCAUUUUCUGAGCACUCCCACCUCUUAUUAUUUUUUCUAAUUUCUUCCGGCUAUAUAUUUAUAUUUUUAUGGGGGGAACCCAAAAAUGGGUUACAACAGAUGCCCCCUCUUUAUAAUGCUUACGGAGCAGAGGUCUUGCGCAGUAAGUUUUAUAAAGAUAAACCCCAAAACGGAACUCCCGAAACUGAUCUGGUUGAAGCUUGAUUAAUCUGAAACUUGUCUUUUACAGCAAUCCUCCUCAACUUGGAAUCCCAUCUGGCGAUCUCCUUUAGUCAAUUUGGAAUCCCAUCUGGCGAUUCCUUUUUUAAUCAACAUGAAAAACGAGGUCCCAUCUGGCGACCUUCAAAUAGCGAAACAUGAGAUCCCUUCUGGCGAUCUCCUUUAAUCAAACUUGGAAUCCCAUCUGGCAAUUCCUUUUAUUCAAACGAAAUAUGAGGUCCCAUCUGGCGACCUCCAAAUAGCGAAAUACGAGAUCCCUUCUGGCGAUCUCCUUCAACUUGGAAUCCCAUCUGGCGAUUCCUUUUAUUCAACAGGUAAUACGAGGUCCCAUCUGGCGACCUCCAAAUAGCGAAACACGAGAUCCCUUCUGGCGAUCUCCUUUAUUCAACUUGGAAUCCCAUCUGGCGAUUCCUUUUAACCAACAUGUAAUACGAGGUCCCAUCUGGCGACCUUCAAAUAGCGAAACACGAGAUCCCUUCUGGCGAUCUCCUUUAAUCAACUUGGAAUCCCAUCUGGCGAUUCCUUCUAACCAACAUGUAAUACGAGGUCCCAUCUGGCGACCUUUAAAUAGCGAAACAUGAGAUCCCUUCUGGCGAUCUCCUUUAAUCAACUUGGAAUCCCAUCUGGCGAUUCCUUUCAACAUGAAAUAUGAGGUCCCAUCUGGCGACCUUCUAAUAGCGAAACACGAGAUCCCUUCUGGCGAUCUCCUUUAAUCAACUUGGAAUCCCAUCUGGCGAUUCCUUUCAACAUGAAAUGAGGUCCCAUCUGGCGACCUUCUAAUAGCGAAACACGAGAUCCCUUCUGGCGAUCUCCUUUAAUCAAUUUGGAAUCCCAUCUGGCGAUUCCUUAUUACCAAAGCUGAUAUCGAUGUCGUUCUUCCUGAUGGCAGGGUUCAAAACUUUUCAUUCUCUCUUUUUCUUGUUAUUCUCGUUGUUCCAGAAUCCACUAUGGUUCAAAACCGUGAUUCUUUGCUAUCAUCCUCUAUGAUUCUUUCUUCGUCUCCAAUCUUGUUGGAAAGCAUCAAGGUCUCCUCCUGUAACGAUCCAAAAAACAUAUAUGCAAUGCUUUAUGAUUAGAUGUCAUGCAUGCAUUCAUACCUGGUUUUGAAACAUAGGCCCCAUCACCUUCUUCGAGUUCAUGAGCCUCCUUCUUAACCUGAGCUUGCUUUUGAAGUCGCAUGCUGGAUUCAUCUCUCGUGUUGCCUCCUAUCAUAUUUUGGAGAAGAAAUCUCUGACUUUCUUUAAGUAGUCCUUUUCCCAAAAUGUAUGAUUUGUCAUUGCCUCUUUGUCAUGCUUUUGUCAAAUGCUUUAGCUUGGUUUUCAAAUCUAUAGGCUUCCGUACAUUUUAAACACGUAAAACUUUUCAUGAAAACAUCUCUUAUUGCCCCCAGUGUAGGGGUGUGAUUUUAGCCUAGGCUUUUGUAUAGAGAAGGAAUUCGUUCAGCCGAUGCUAAACUUUUUUAGGUGCGAUAACAACAAAACAUGCGCUAUUGGGAUUAAUGCAAAAAAAUGAUUGUUGUGAGAUCAAUGCAAAAAAAAAAAAAAAGUCAAUGGCCAAACUUUGCUUUAUUGAUUUAGGAGCGUACAUCAAACAUAAUAUCUUUUUACAGAGUCAGAAUUCACAGGUCGAGCUAGGUCUUCUCCAUCCAUUCUAGCCAACUUCAGCGCUCCUCCUGAGAAUGCCUUCUUUACUACGUAAGGACCCUCGUAAUUCGGUGCCCAUUUGCUUUGAUCGUCUCCAGGUAACGGCAAUAUUUUCUUCAAUACUAGAUCCCCUUCUUGAAACAACCGCGGUCUAACCUUCUUAUCAUAUGCCUUGGCCAUUCGUUUCUGGUAAAGUUGGUGAUGACAUAUUGCGGCCAUCCUUUUUUCACUGAUCAGGUUUAGUUGCUCAUAUCUCACUUUGGCCCACUCAACCUCUUCUAGCUCGGAAUCCAUUAAUACUCUUAACGAUGGGAUUUCUACUUCCAAAGGCAUCACUGCUUCCAUACCGUAUACCAAAGAAUAUGGGGUAGUCCCUGUCGAGGUCCUGACUGUAGUGCGGUAUGCGUGAAGUGCGAAUGACAACAUCUCAUGCCAAUCUCUAUAUGUGACUACCAUUUUCUGAAUAAUCUUCUUGAUGUUCUUGUUGGCGGCUUCUACUGCGCCAUUCAUCUUUGGUCGGUAUGGUGAAGAAUUCGAAUGCUUGAUUUUCCAUUUAGUACACAGCUCCGCUAUCAUUUUGCCAUUGAAAUUCUGUGCAUUAUCUGUCACUAUCUUUUCAGGAGGACCAUAUCGACAAAUCAAGUUCUUCUCUAUAAACCUCUUCACUACGUUCUGUGUUACGUGGGCAUAUGAACUAGCUUCUACCCAUUUUGUGAAGUAGUCAAUAGCUACGAGGAUGAAUCUAUGACCAUUGCUAGCUUUUGGGUUAACAGGCCCGAUCACGUCAAUUCCCCACAUUGCAAACGGCCAAGGGGAUAUUAGAUUAAAUAGAGGAGCUGGUGGCAUAUUGACCUUGUCACUGUAAACUUGACAUUUAUGACAUUUCCUGACAUAAUCGAUACAGUCUUUCUCUAGUGUCAUCCAAAAAUAACCAGCCCUUUGGAUUUUCCUCGCUAUCAUAUGCCCGCUAGCAUGGGUUGAGCAAAUCCCCUCAUGGACCUCCCGUAAUGCCUUUCUAGCAUCUGCCUCAUUCAAACACCUUAGUAGGGUCCCAUCAAAUGAUCUUUUGUACAAAAUCUCUCCAUCUAAAUAGAAGUCUAUAGCCAACCUUCUCAAAGUUUUCUUAUCCAUUUUGGAAGCUCCCACCGGAUAUUCGUGAUUUUGCACAAGGUUCUUGAUAUCAUAAUACCAAGGAUGUCCGUCUAUCUCUCCUUCAACUAAGCAACAAUAAGCUGGGUCAUUUCUAAUGUCAAUGUGUACCGGUUGUACCUUGCACUUGAGAUCAAUGGUAGUCAUAGCAGCUAACGUGGCCAAAGCAUCCGCAAAAUGGUUCCCCUCCCUUCCCAGAUGGGUGAAUCUAAUUCCUUCAAAUUCCUUUGCUAGCGUGGAUAGGUAUUCCUGGUACGGCCUCAACUUGUCCUCCUUGGUCUGCCAUUCCCCUUUAACCUGACAAAUAAUCAACAUUGAAUCUCUAUAUACAUCUAACUUCUUUAUCUUCAACUCUAAUGCCGCUUCUAAACCGAGGAUACAAGCUUCAUACUCAGCUGUGUUGUUGGUGCACUCGAAAUGUAGUUUAACCGAAACUGGAUAUUGUUUCUUAUUAGGAGAGAUUAUUACCGCACCGGCCCCGUUACCAUAUACAUUCACUGCACCAUCAAAAAACAUCGUCCACCAAUCUGUCUUCUCUUAUUCUUUCUCUAUUGACAAUAUAUCUUCAUCAGGGAAGUCAAAAUCCAAAGGUUCAUAAUCUUCAACAGCAUUAUCGGCCAGAUGGUCUGCAAUUGCACUUCCUUUUACGGCUUUCCUUGUCAUGUAUACUAUGUCAUAUUCUGCUAAUAGAACUUGCCACCUUGUAAUUCGACUUGAGAGAAAGGGCUUGUUACAAAUAUACCUCAGAGGAUCCACUUUUGAAAUUAACCAAGUGGUAUAGUAUAACAUAUAAUGUCGCAACCUCUUUGCAGCCCACACCAACGCACAACAAAGCCUUUCUAUCUCCGUGUAUCUAGACUCACAUUCAGUGAAUUUCUUACUUAAGUAAUAAAUAGCUCUUUCCUUCCUUCCGGUUUCAUCAUGCUGACCCAAUACACAUCCCAUGGCCGCUUCAGUCACUGUUAGAUACAAUACUAAAGGUUUUCCUGAUACCGGAGGCACCAGUAAAGGUGGAUUUUGUAAAUAAUGCUUGAUUUUAUUGAAUGCCUCCUCACACUCCUCAUUCAAGGUUCCAGGAUUCUUUUUCCUUAGUAGUCGGAAUAUUGGUUCACACGUCGUUGUUAACUGAGCUAUGAACCUAGCAAUGUAGUUUAAUCUUCCCAAGAAUCCUCUUACUUCUUUCUCCGUCUUAGGGGAUGACAUAGCUUGGAUGGCCUUCACUUUAUCUGGAUCCACCUCUAUACCUCUAUCACUUACCACAAAUCCUAACAGCUUACCCGAUUUAACUCCGAAUGAACAUUUUACAGGAUUGAGCCUUAAUUCAUACUUCCUCAGUCUCUCAAAUAACUUCCUCAAAACUUCAACAUGAUCCUCUUCCGGUCUGCAAUUGCACUUCCUUUUACGGCUUUCCUUGUCAUGUAUACUAUGUCAUAUUCUGCUAAUAGAACUUGCCAUUGCUCUUUGAUAGGUUGCUCCUGCAUUCUUCAAUCCAAAUGGCAUGACCUUAUAGCAGAAUGUUCCCCAAGGUGUGACAAAAGUUGUUUUCGUCUUAUCCUCCGGAGCCAUUUUUAUCUGGUUGUAUCCUGAAAAACCAUCCAUAAAGGAAUAUGUGGAACUCCGGGCAGCGUUGUCUACUAAAACAUCUAUGUGUGGUAGCGGAAAAUCAUCCUUGGGGCUAGCUUUAUUCAAAUUCCGAAAAUCCACGCACACUCUAAUCUUCCCCUCCUUCUUAGGCACCACAACAAUGUUAGAUACCCAUUGCGGAUAUCUAACUACUUCUAGAAAACCAGCAUCCCAUUGCUUCUCGAGUUCUGCCUUGACCUUGAUCCAGACAUCCGGGUGGGCCCUCCUCAGCUUCUGCUUGACUGGCUUACAACCUUCUUCCAACGGUAUCUUGUGUACUACAAUAUUUGUAUCCAAACCAGGCAUAUCUUCAUAGGACCAAGCAAAGACAUCUGAAUAUUCUUGUAAUAGGGUGAUCAUUUUGAUCCUUUGUUCAGAAGUAAUUAGGGUACCUAUUUUUAACUCUUUCUUAAGCUGAUCACUGCCCACAUUGAUGGUUUCGAGUUCCUCGACGAUAGGCUUCCAAGUCUGUUCCUGUUGUUCUACUAGCCUAGUGAAUUCACUGAUAUUGCUUUCAUCCCACUCUUCUUCUUCCAUAGCUAUCACAUGCUCGUUCAAGUUUGGCCAUUUAUUCUUGAUGCUAAAUGUAUGUGAUGUUGUGGGAGAUCCGCUUUCAGGAUUCCUGAAAGCGGGAAGUGUUUGGUGUAAAUGCAUAAAAAAAAGAAGGCAAUUUGUGAAAAGUGCAUGAUCUCACAAUUUAUUUAAAGAAAAGGUGGGCUCCAUGACAAACAUAAAAUCUAGCUGACAUCAUGAGCCUUGAUUGUCAACUAGAGGAAAUAAAAGCAAACAUAAGCAAUGACAAAAGCAUGUUAAGACAAACAAAAUUGGUUUACAUUUUGAAAACCACUGGAGCUUCUUGGGUCACCCAGUUCUGAAACUUCUCGUCUUGAGCUAACUUGCGCACAAAGGUCUUGGCGGAUACUUCUUCUAUGGUGUAGACCGUCAGUUGUGGGAGUGCUUCAUCUCCCUUUCUUGCUACUGUCUUCAUGUCAUCUCCUUCCACCUUGUUUUCCCCCAAGGUAUUUAUGCUCAUGUUUGACAGCUCUUGAUCAAGGCUUUCGGCUUCUUUAUCAUGUUACAUUAUGUAUGCAGCUUUUGGGAAUGACACGCUAAGGGGAGGGAUUUCCAGCUUUUCUUCAUCAGGCUCUCUUCCUUUAAUUCUAGCCAUCCUUCUUGCCCUUCUCCGACCAGCAGCCCACCGAUAAUCCUCUUGGUUAGGUUGGUACCCUAGCCCAAAUCUUUGAGCAGCACUUUUCAUCUUUGCCAGAUUAACCCCUUCUGGUAUCCUAAUAAUAAGGUUAUACUGAAAUGGGAUUCCGCGGUUCAAGAAGCAUAGACUUGCCAUCCUUGCUGCUUCUGAGAUCCUUGGCCUUCUUAGCACUGUGUUCUCCGACACCCAGUCGGUGUUCACAAUCUCAAAGGCAUGGAUAUUGUUACCCUUGCAAUCAUCCGCUUCGAUAAAAGGCACAGCUACAUUCUUUAUCAUGGAUACUGUGUCCUCGGCCUUGACAGUUACCAACAUCCCAUUCAUGAUAUACUUUAGGCAUUGGUGCAAUGACGAAGCUACUACCCCCGCUGCAUGAAUCCAAGGUCUUCCUAACAACAUACUAUAAGAAGGGUGGAUAUCCAUAACCUGAAGUGUUACUAGGAACAUUUGUGGUCCCACAUAUAGCUCCACUUCUAAAGUCCCAAUUAUUGGCCUAGGCGACCCAUCAUACGCUCUGGCCAUCAUAGUACUUGGCUUAACAUGGGAUUCAUCGAUCGGCAUUUCUUCUAGCAUGUGCUUUGGCAACACGUUAAGGGCCGAGCCAUUAUCAAUGAGUACUUUUCCUAUGAGGCAGUCCUUGCACCUAACCGUAAUGUAUAAAGGCUUGUUAUGUCCGGUACCUUCAGCAUCGAGCUCGUCAGCUGUGAAGUACAGGUAAUUCGUUGCAUGGAUCCUCCCCACUAGAUGCUCCAUGGUUUUGUGUUCGAUGUCUUGGGGUACAUAUGCCUCAUUCAAUACCUUUUGCAAGGCGUUUCGAUGCGGCUCAGAGCUGAGUAUCAAGGACAUAAGGGAGAUCCUAGCUGGAGUCUUCUUUAGUUGAUCCACUAUGCAAUAUUCGCUAUGCUUGAUCAACUUCAAGAAUUCAUUCGAUUCCUCUUCCGUUACUGGCUUGUUAACUUCUAGUGCUUUGUCCAGAUCUACCACUUCUUUGCCCUUUGACUUCCUCAACUCCUCGGGCGUAAAGCAACGACCACUCCUGGUCAAACCCCUUAUCUCAGGCUGGAACAAAGGAAGAGGAGCUCGGACGUUAGAGGCAUAACCAUAAUUAUAAGGCAUGGCAUUGUGAUUCCCUUUUGUGUAGGGCGGUUUAACCAAGAUUAGCCUUGGGGGCCCAUGAGCUGUUGGCUGGAUCCUGCAUACUCCUGUCAUUUCAUCUUGACCUUCCAUCAUACUCACCUCACCGCUGUUCUUCAUGGGUUCAAUCCUCAACUCCCCCAUUUUUAGCAUUUUUGCAAUCUUUUCGCAAAACUCGAUGCAAUCCUCAAUAUGAUGUCCAUCUCUUCCAUGGUAUUCACAAUAAUCAUAUCCCUCCGAAUGGCUCUCCACCUUUGUCUUUAGAAAUCCUGAUUGUACCAACAUGCCGUACAACCUCUUCAUGGACACCUUCGACACCUUGCAUUGAUUUCCCACUUCGAUCAUGCCUAUUCCACUACUAUUUGGGGCAUGCUUAGGCAAUGGGUUUGAAUUAACAUUGGGCUUGUCCUCAAAGGAUACCCAUCCCAUCUUAAUAAGCUCCAACAACCUCUUCUUGAAGGCGUAACAGGUUUCAAUCCCAUGCCCGGGAUUACCCCCAUGGUACUCGCAAGCCAACUCGGGCUUGUACCAAAUUGGGAAUGGUGGUUGUAGUGGUAGUGUAGGUAUAGGAGCUAUUUGUCCAAUGCUCAGAAGUUUGGCGUACAUGUCCUUCAAAGGCAUGGGUAAGGGUGGCAGUUGUUCUGAAGUGUAUUUUAUAUGGGGUCUUUGGUAGUGAUUUUGGUAGUUCGAUUGGUUAUUUGUUCGAUUAGGGGAAAAAGGUUGGUUAAAGUUUAUGCGUGAGAAUUGAGAGGUAGGUACUUGAGGAUUAUGAAAAUCUACUCUCUUGCCCUUAUACCCACCUUCCAGAUUGUUAACAUCGCCUUCUCUCUUUCUUCCAAUAAAACCCUUCUUCUCCACUGGCAUCGCUAUUCGCCCAGCUUUAAUCCCUUGUUCUAUCCUUUCAGCUAUGCGUACCGCAUCAUAGAAGUGUUGAGAGGAGCUACCCAUUAGGUGCUCAUAAUAAGGUGCUUUGAAGGUAUUGGCAAACAAGCUCACCAUCUCUGUUUCUAUCAAAGGGGGUUGGACAUGCAUUGCUUCAUCCCUCCAUCUUUGCGCAUAAGCCCUUACUGACUCCUGGCUCCUUUUCUCCAUUGUCAUUAGACUUGUUCGAUCAGGAGCGAUUUCCAUGUUAAACUUGUACUGUUUGAGGAAAGCCUCCACCAAGUCUCUCCAGCUCUUGAUCCUGAUGCUGUCUAACCUCAUAUACCAGCUUAAAGCGGAUCCUGCUAGGCUAUCUUGAAAGAAAUAGAUUAGCAAUUUAUCAUCACGGAUUACUUCCGCCAUUUUGUUGCAGUAGGAUCGAAGGUGAGUGUUUGGGCAUUCCAAACCGGUAUACUUAACGAACUCUGGUAUUCGAAAAUCUUUUGGUACCACGAUGUUUGGUACCAAACAUACUUCGGCUGCUCUCAUAGGGUCAAACCAAUCAUUACCCUCAACUGCCCUUAAUCUUUCUUCUAGUGCAAAUAGCUUGUCUUGGUCCAUCACACUGGGAGACCUAUUAUCCGGGACUCCCUCCGUUGUUAAGUCCACAGUGAUUGGAGCGUGAGUUGGCUGGAUAGGGGUGAUAGGCACGAAAUGUUGUUCAUUGGCCGAGUUUGCCCCCUGGUUUUGGGAUACUUGAGGGACGUACGCUGCUGGCGCUCCUUCAGGUUGUUGUGCUGAUGUUCCCUCCCCAUUCUUAGCUCUUAGAAGCUGCUCAAGUAAAUCAGUUAACCGAGAAACUUCAUUUUUUACGGACUCCAACUCGGUCUGAUAAUGUGACUCUAAGUGAGCUCUCUCUUCGUUCUCCAUUCUUGCUCUAGACCGGGUGUUGUGGACCUUGGAAGUGGGACCUAUGUUUCACGAUCUGGCGCAUAUGAUAAAUUAAACAAAUGCGUGAUGAAAAUAUGAUGCUCGUGCAAAUGUAUAUUUUAAAAUUGAUUCAUGACUUUCGUAAUCCUUUAGGCAAGAUUUCUGAGUUGACCCGAUUGCUGUAAAGGGGGUUUGCCAAGUUCUUUAUCAUAGUAGCUUACCAAAACACACUUAGAAAGAAAGAUAGGUCAUAGCCUUCUUAUAAAUAGAAGUUGCUCAUACAGUGAUAACAGAACAAGGGCGUUAUACAUUGCUAUCCUUAAAAGGCAUUUCCUCUAUUAGCUAAGUCCCCAAUAAAACAGGUGAUGGCCGCCAUAUAUUCUCGAUACUUUGAAGCAUCAUUUCCAACUUGAGUAGCUUGUCGUUGCAACCUUUCCGCAUAACGGGCUGCUUGCUCGACCUGCUUCGUUAUAUGCCUUAUCUUAUCAUGGAACACAGUGUUAUCUGCAAUUAUCACUUCGUUGCUGGCUCCUAGGGCUUCAUUACUUCUUUCUAACACUCGAACCAUAUCAUCCGACCGGGCCAACUUAUCCCUUACCCUCUGCAGUUCUUCCUUUUCGAUAUCCAGCUCGGCUAUUUUGGAGUUAAUUUGGACUGUAAAGCUGUCCAUGUAACCCUGACAUUCUUGACGCUCUUGCUUAGCCUUACUGAGCUCCUCUUCCAUCUCAAAGUAAUGGCUUCUCAACUCCCUCAACUCUUCUACUUGUAUCUCGAUCUCAGAUUGUAAAGCCAUCAUUCUUCCUUUCGAAGACUCAGCUCUUUUCUGGUAAUCUCUCAUAUCAGACUCGGCGGCCUUUCUUGCACUUCUCUCUUCCUCAAGCUGCACCAUAUAUUGAGCUCUAAUCCUUCUUUCCUCUUCUAUGUCGAGCUGGGCUAGCUGAUUCUUCUCCUUUUCAACUUCUAUUUUCUUUGAAAGAAUGCUCUUUCCCUUCUUCAAGGAAUCCAUCACCUCUUUGUCAACAUUCAUCUUGCCUUUUGUUGAUCUUUUAACCCUUGCCAACUCUUUUUCUGCGAGCCCAUUCUUCUUAACCAGCUCAUCAUAUUCGGUCAUUCGUUUCUUUAGCUCAGCCUGGACCCCUUUUGCUAUUUCUUCCGCUACCUCGGCCCUUUUCUGCCAUUCUUUCAAUGAUGUUAAUUGCUUAUCCUGUUUUUCCAACUGCUGGUUCAAGAAAACCCUCAUCGUGUUUUCUUCCUCUAACUGACUUUCUAAUAACUGUUGUUGCCCUUUACUUUUACUGAGAUCGAUUACACAUCGUUCUAGCUGCUUUCUUAACUCCUCCUCAUUAUCAGUCCUUUUCCUUUUUUGUUGCUCUAUUGUGGAUUCUGGAUGUUUUGGUAUUGAGAAAACCUUCACUUCAGAAAGCUCUUCAUUCCUCCAAACUGCAUAAUUCUGGCUAAAUGAUGUUUCAAACGUGCUCCCUUCUUCCCUUUUUAUCAACAGGGGUCUUUCCCAAUCUUGUCGGAUAAGCUCCAUCUCUUCGAGGAAGGGUUGGUGCUUGAAUAGACCGACGAAAUCAGCUAAACCCAGAGUUCUUGGUACGUACUGCAUUCCCCCUAACUGCCUUGUUACCAAGGCGGGCGCGUAACUGAUGUACCCGGUUACACCAAUCAAAGGAACCCAUAUCCUGCUUCCGCAACUCAUUGUGCAGAUGGCGUUGUUCAUCCAUGGUGCUUUCCAUUUAUCUAUCCAUGCUUUCUCAUCCCAAUUCUUCCAAGUCUCAUCCAUGGUAACCUUUAACGGUCGCAGGUCAAACCACCAAAAGUUGUUAAAAAUGUCCCUUGGUGUUUCGAUAUGACUGAUAAUCCAUAAAUACAACAUAGGGGCGCAACACCUCAUGGCUCCUUUUCCAUGCAUUCUGCAGUGGUUGAGUGAUAACAUGGUUUCUCCCAAAAUGGCUGAUGAGGGAUUGAUCCGGUCACGUUCGUAUUCUAUGAAGACACUUGCUGCUUCCAAACUGAUGACUCCGAUUUCGGAAGGGAACAAUACUAGCCCAAAAAUGGCGAAGGCCACCAACCUGUAUCGUUCUUCUCCUAACUUGCCUUCUUCAGCAUUUUUCUUCAUUCGGGCUUCUAUGACCUUCCAUUUGAAACCCCCCUCGGCGACUCUACAUUGACUGAUCUUUCCCAAGCCUAAUAAACUGACUACCUCCGAAGCUGUGUCUUCAAAUCUUCGCCUUAGAUAGAUCCUGUGGCUGUUGUUUGGAAAAUCUAGAAUCCUUUCAUAUUCCUCCAAAGUCGGUGUCAUAUCAAUGUUCCCAAAGGUAAAACUCCGAUAACUAGGAUCCCAAAAAUUCAGUAGGGCUUUGAUUGCUGUUGCUUGUACGGGUAACCUCAUUAGUUGUGCAAUUCUCCCAUAUCGCCUUUCAAAAAUAGUCUCAUCAAUGUAUUCCAUAAUAGACACUAACUUCCCCAAGUCAUUUACCAUGUGAUUUAUCUUAGUAAUGCAAGGCAACCUACUAGCAUCGAUUCUUGGGCAUUUUCCUUCAGCUACUUGAGUCAACUCAGAUUCUUGCCCAAACUCUUGGAAAGAUAGGUACUUAGUCAUGAUUUGGUUCAAAACCUGGAUUGAUGAAUUUAGCAUUAUUAAUCAUGAUGCAAAUGAACGUAAGAUAGAUAUCUUAAGGACAAGUUCUAUUUAAUAGGUGAGAAUGGGUAGGUUUUCUAUCUGGUCUUUAAAAGGGUCUCAUAUCUGCCCAGUGACGUUCUUCGUAAAGACAGUAUGGGGGCGUUGCAAGGAACAGUUAAGGUAAGUAUACCCACCAUUACCAAGCAGGCACUCAGAUAUGAGUUGGGUGUUUCACGCAUCUGAACCCUGACCGAUAGUCAUAGGGCAAAUCGCUAAUCCCCCACCUAACUUAAAGCUUUGUGUGUGCUUCUCAAAAAGUAUGUGAUGCAUGUGACAGUUUUAUAAGAUGCAUGAGACAGUUGUAUACAAAUGCAUGAACAAAAUGUGUAAAAAUAUUUAAAGCAUAUAAGCAGAUAACAAAAGGAAAGGUAUAUUAAAAAACACACGAAAACAAAAACAAUUCAGACAAAAACAAAGCUUAGUCCACAAGAAUCCCCAGUGGAGUCGCCAUUCUGUCGCGGGUGCGCGGUGUCGCGGCGAAAAUUCCACUUUUUAGAAUCUAGGAAGUGUGUAUGGUAUCUAUCUGGUAAAUGUGGGGAGACAAGAAAAUAGUCUUUUGUUGGUAGGAAAAUGGAAUGGGAGUCGCCACCUAGUAUUUUGGUCACUAGGAACCCUAACUGGUCUCAAAGAUUGGGUACGGGGACUGGUUGCGUAAAGGGAAGGUAUUAGCACCCCAAAUACGCCCUACCUAAAGUAAGCUGCAUUGUUUAUUUGUCUGAUAAAAUUCAAGGUCUCGUUGUGUUUCCUAGUUGUUGGUCCGUCUAUGGUUCAAGAAAAGUCCUCCUCAAUAAGGAGGUCCUUAUCUUAAGGGGUAAAACCUAAUCCUUCUAACGUCUAUGUAUGUUGGUCCGUCUAUGGUUCAAGAAAAGUCCUCCUCAAUAAGGAGGUCCUUAUCUUAUCGGGUAAAACCUAACCGUUCUAAUGUCUAUGUAAAAAAACCCAUAUUUUUAAUAUCAGGAAUACGUUUUACGUAUAAAUUCGUAAUCCCAAAUACUAAAAGAAGACAAAAAGAUUUUUUAAGAAUUUUUGAAAUAUUGGCCUAGUUCUCAUGGCUUGAAUAAACUGGUUAUUAAAGCCAAAAUGCAUGCUAAUACAUAUAUUGUUUUGAAAUUUCCUUUUGUUGUGUGAAAAUAUGAUGUUAGAAUAUUUAUAUAUAUAUAUUGGAGAGACUAGGCCGUAUGCAUGAAAACAAAACAUUUUUUUUUGUAAUUAUGUAUUUUUUGAUGUUUUGACGAAAAUCGGGUAUUUUAAUACCGGAUUUGUAUCUUUACCGUAUAAAAAUACAAACCGACAUUGAUCAAAAUACAGUAAUAAAAUUACAACAAAAUCGCAUAUUUUUUAAAUGAUUUUUGAAGAACCCUUUUUUAUUUUUUUGUUUUUUUUUUUUUUAAAACAUGUAUACAUAUAUAAAUAAUACAAAACAAUAUAAUAUAUAAAUAUAUAAUAUUAAAUGGGUUGGGCUGGUCCGGCCCAACCAACUGGGCCGGACUCAGCCCAAAAAAUGUUGGGCCGAUUUCGGCCCAAAAUGGAUUGGGCCGAUCUCGGCCCAAAAAACUGAUAUUCUUCUCUGGGCCAGAACAAGCAGAUAACAAAAGGAAAGGUAUAUUAAAAAACACACGAAAACAAAAACAAUUCAGACAGGGCCGGGCCAGGAUCUGCCUGCAUGCAGAACGCUACUCGUUCUGCAUGCAGAGAAGGAAAAAAAAUAAACACCAGAACAAGGGGGGAGGAAGAAUUACCUGGCGCGGAGGAGGCGAUGGCUUGCUGAUUGGAAUGCUUCGCUGGUGGUGCUGUGGUGGAGGCCGGUGGCGGUGUCGUGGCUCACGGACGGCGGCUCCAAGCGGCGGUGCUGCUAUUUCAAACGGUGGAGGGUGAGGUUACUGCUCUUCCCUUCUCCUCCGUAUGCCUUCCUCUUCUUUCGUUUUCGGUGGUUUCCUUUUAUCCUCCCGGUUUGUUGUCAAGUUUCCUACCCCGUUUCAAGCUUUUCCUUCCUCUCCGUUUGAGUUUAUCAGUGGUUCCCUUUUUAUUCGGUUCUGUUCUCUGUUUCUCUCUAUUUCCUCUUCUUUCGGUCCUCUCCCCUUUCUCCUCCCUUUCUUCUGUGUUCUUGGGUCUAUUUAUAGAGCCAAGAGGCGGGGCUUUUUAUGGCUGCACAUGGGGGGCAGGGGCUGCGGCGGUUGGUCGGCCAUUCGGGUGCAGCUGUCGAGACGUUACUCCCCUGUUUUCUGCAUGGCGCGCGGCGGGUGGUCGGCCAGCGGGCGUGGCUGGCGAGGUGCGGCUCCCUCGGUUUCCUGGCAAGGCAUGCGGUCAAGAGAGAGGCAGCACACGUGAAGAAGAAAAACCCACCAUUUUGCUUUCUUCCCCUGCUGCACGUCCAUGGGAGGAAGAAAGAGGAACAGUGUCGUUCAAAACGACACCGUUCCGAUCUUCUUCUUCUUCUUUUUUUUUUUUUUGGCAUGAAACGGCGUCGUUUUAGGCAAAACGCGCCGUUUCAUUUAAGUCCAGCAAGACGCCAAAACGCGUCAAUUUGCAAAGCAGCCCUCAAUUAUCUUCUUUCCUUCAAUUGCAUCCCUGCCAAUUUCGGUCUUCGCCCCUAUAGUUGGCCGCGUUUUUCACAUUGGUCCUUGGCCUCUGAUUUAUGCAAUUGAGCCCUCAAUUGAUUAAUAAACUUUCAAUUUCUUCAAUUAGGCCCCUGAACCGAAUAAUUGCAGCCCCUCCAUUUACGCGCCUCUUCCAAUUUGGUCCCUGAUUUCGGAUUUUCUCAAUUAAGUCCCCAAUUGGCCCUUAAACUUCAAUAUUUAUGCAAUUAAGCCCCUGAUUUGACCUAAUAAAUUCCUAAAAAAUAUAUUUUGGCCCCAGAACUUAAAUUUCUUCUAAUUAAAACCCAAAUUGACUUAAAAAUCAAUUUUUCUUACAAUCAAAUCCCCUAUAAAUUCAUUUAAAAAUCCAAUUAAGUCCAUAAACAUCCAAAUUUGGGCUUUUCUCCUCAAAUUUCAAAAUUCCCCUCUCAAUAGGGCUCUCAUCCUUCAAGAAUAUACUGUCCUAACUCCAAUCUUUGUAUUUUUAACCUCAUUGACCAAUUUUCCAACCAUUUUCUGAGCACUCCCACCUCUUAUUAUUUUUUAUAAUUUCUUCCGGCUAUAUAUUUAUAUUUUUAUGGGGGGAACCCAAAAAUGGGUUACAACAAUAUGGACUAAAAAUGAAAGAAGGGUCGAACUGUCUUGUACUUGACAGAUUUGGUUGAGUAUUAUAACAGAUAAUUUCGGGGGUGUUAAGGGCAGAAUUGGUCUUCCGAUCCUUUAGUAGAGUUGUAGAACCGUGUCUUACCUUUCCAACAAGCCAAACCACACUUAAAACUGAAUUCUAUAACUUUACUUACGAAUUAAUGAGGUAGUUGAAGAAAAUAAUCAGAAAAUGAAAUCAAAACAUGGUGAUGAAUUAAUUUGAAUGAGAUGGCAAUAGUAUGAGAACACACAUUGUGAUAAAAUUAGAAGAGGGUACUAAUUGUAUCUCUUGAUUCUCAAACAGAAGAGAUGCCUGGAGUAGGGUCGUCAGGAGUUGAUGUGACUCGAUCGGUUGGGGAAAUAGGUAGGUGCAUCACACCUUGUCUUUUCAUUUUGUGUAAACUCAUUGAUAAAUUUCAAAAUUUACUGUUUUAUUGCUUUGAUAAAUAUUGGAUUGAAUAUAAGUACCUUGUAUAUAUUGAUGUGUAUCAACUAGUUAUUAUAUAAUUGGAAUGGAUACGAGUACCUUACAUACAUUGAUAUGUAUCAAACUUGUGAUGAUAUUAUUAGAAUGAAUAAGAGUACCUUGCGUACAACGGUAUAGAUCAAUUAGUUAAGAUAAUGUUUGAAUGAAUAUGUACACCUUGCGUAGAUUGGUAUGGAUCAAGAUCGCUAGGAUAAUGUUUGAACGAACAUGAAUACCUUGUGUACAUUGUUAUGUAUCAAAUUAAUUAUGUUAUUAUUAGAAUGAAUAUGAUUACCUUGCAUACAUUGAUAGGUAUUGAAUUAGCCAUGAUAACUUUGGAAUAGAUGUUAUUAUCUUACAUACUUCAGUAUGGAAUAUGUAUACACAAUGACUAGGAGAUUGGAGGAGAAAUGAUAGAUAAUUGGUCAUUGUAGUGUCGGUGGCUAAUGAUACGUUAUGAUGCUACUUAGCACCAUGAUGAGGGUGGUUAAGGGCAUAAAUUGAUGCUUGGCACUGUGAUGAGGGUGACCAAGGUUAUGUGAAUGAUGCUUAAUGAUCGUAGUGUUUGUUACAAUGUAUAUGAUGUUAAUAAGAAGAAUAAAAGGGAAUCGGUACAAAUAGAAGGUUGAGAAGACAUUGAUUAGCUAUCUAGGUUUGGAUAGCUAAUGGUAUCGAUGAGGUUCCAUUGGUACCGACAUUUUAGAUGACAUUAAUUAGCUAUCCAGGUUUGGAUAGCUAAUUGUAUUGAUGAGGUUCCAUUGGUACCGACAUUUCAGAUGACAUUGAUUAACUAUCCGGGUUUGGAUAGCUAAUGGUAUCGAUGGGGUUCCAUUGGUGUCAGCGUUCCUUAAAUUGAUUAGUCAAUCCCGAGUAAUUAGGUGACUAAUGAUGUUAGUAAAGAUUUAUAACAUCGGCAUGGUUACUCCUGGUUAAGGGAAAAAAAUAAGUUGAUUAAUUAUUCUAGGUCGUGAAUAGUUAAUUAUAUCAAUCGGUCCUAUUGGUAUCGACAACCAUUUCUGGUGUAAUUAGCUACUCCAGGUAAGGAGGCUAAUGAUGGCAAGGGUUCUUGACAUUGACAACUUUGAUGGUAAACCAGAUAUGAAUAAGAAUUGAUUAACUAUUUUAGGGUAGAAAUAAUUAAUGAUAUCAAUUAGUUGUAUUGAUAUCGACACUUAAAUGGAAUUGAUUUGUCUAACCCGAUAUUGGGAGACUAAUGAUACUAAUGAGAUUCAAUAGUAUCGGCAAUUACCUUCCGAAAAAUGAAAGAGAAAAUAUUGAUUAGUUAUUCCAAAAGAAUGAGAUAAGCUAAUGAUACCAAGAGAGGAAUAUCUUGAUAUCAAGUGAGAAUUGAUUCAUAAGGAGAUGGUGUUCGAAACUAUUGAGUUGUAUUGAGAUUUCCAAGAUGAAAUUAUUUUCGGCAAAUGGGAUAGGAUAUUAGAUGGAUAUUGGUAAUAGAUGGAAAAUAUAUGUUGUAAAAGUGGUCUAUGCCUAAUUUUAUGUAUCAAAAGAAAUUCUAUAUAAAUGAUUACAUGUCAUUGUUAUUGUUUGUUACUACCUUUUUAUAUUUAUAUGUACAUGUUAAUUUUUAUUUCCAGGUUCAUUAGGGUCGCGUCAAGAGUUAUCUUAGUUUAGUUACCUUUUGCUUUCGGCCAUGUAAUGAUUUGUAAAUUAAGAGACUUCUCUCCUAAAACUUGAAAUGUAAUAUUAACCCGUACAUUUGGAUGUAUGACUUUAAUCUAAUGUUUGUAAUUCUAAGUACCUAUUUAACCAUGCAUGUUUAUAGUUGUAAUCGAAUCCUUCACUUGAAUAACAUUUUAUGAUGUUAUUAUGCAAGAUAUAGUUUAUAUGAUGUAACAAUUGAAUUAUGCAUUGUUAUUUUGUGAACUUGAAUUGUAUAAUGUUAUUGAAUAAGAUGUGUUGUGUUGGUGAUGAUGAGUUGAGUUAAGAUCCAGGAUGAUUGGAUCAGAUUGUGAAAUGAAAUUGGAAGUGUAAUAUGAAUUUGUCGAUAACUUGGGACCUCCCUGUAUAGAGGAGACUCUGCUAAAAUUUUGGUAGAAAUUUUGAUGGAACUUGUAUAUAAAAAUAACAAUGAUGAAAAAAAAUCAGGGUUGUUACACCUUCUCUUCACGCAACCAGUCCCCAUGUCAGAUCUCUGAGACCAGUUAGGGUUCCUAGUGAUCAAAAUACUAUGUGGCAACUCUCAUUCCCUCUUUCCACUAAUAAAGGACAAGAAUUCCUUGUCUUUCCCAUUUCCCAACCCGAGAGGAUGUUAGCCGUGAUGUCACACACGUGCGACAACCAUCAACAACUCUUGUGAGCCACCAAGAAUCUCCAUUGUGUAUAUAACAACCAACCACAUAACUCAGGAAGCUCUGACUAGUACUAGCAACUUCAAACUAACCACUUACCCUCUCCCAUGGUGACUGUAGCACCUAUAAGCAGUAGAGAGAAGAAUUAAAGAGAAAGAGGAAUUACAAUAGAAAUAGAACAAAGUAGAAAUUUCAACUCAGCCGAUCUUCUUUCUCUGGUUGUUGUGAGCCUCACCAUUGGGGUUAGCAGGAAGAGGAAGGACUGAUCUACCAUACUGAGGUCCUCACACGAUUUGAGGUCUCGUCAGCAUGACGCGCCAACAUUGGCAGUUCUCUUCUAGGGCGUGCAACAGACACAAUGCCAUUGAUCAACCUACUUCCAAUAGAUUCCAAACAUCUUUAGGCAUUCUCAAAGGUGAAAUAUUAAUGUUAAGAUUGAAAUUUGUUAAUGUUGUUUGGUUUUAUGAACAUAAUUUUGAGGUGAUGAGAAAGUUGUUUGAUUUGGAGUUUUGUUAUAAAUAUAAUAUGAUAUAAGUAUCAUGUGAAAAUAAUAAAUGAGCAUUAUUGAUUUCGAUUGUUUGAUUAAAAAAUAAUUGAAAAGUAUGAAUUGUGAUUUUGAAGAUAUGAUAGACAACAUGUACAUUUUUUUAUAAAAGAAAUGUUGAUUAGAAAUUGUUUGUUAAUUGGCUAUGUCCAUAUAAAAAAUAAAAAACAUGCAAAAUGUGUGAGAUAUUUGUUUUUGGAAGUUAGUUGGAUGAAUAUUAUAAGAUGGUUGAAUAUAACCAUAAAAUUUAAAAUUUGAGAAUUUUUAGAUCAUUGUGAAAAUUCUUGCAAUGAAUAUAUAUGGACCGAUUAUUUUUAUAAAAAUAACGAUUGAUUAAUUAACCCAAGAUUGUAUGGUCUAACCUUAGGCUUUAUCUUUCAGGUGUUGAUUAAUAAAGAAAAAGGAAAAGAAAAAGAAAAAGAAAAAGAAAAUUGUCCUUGUAUUGAUUGUUCUUAUUAAUUGAUUAAUUAAUCCAAGAUGGAAUGGUCUUCUACUAGGUCCUCUCUUUCAGAUGUCGGUUAUCGAGUAACAAGAUCAAUUAAUAUUUGAUCGAUGAAUUAACUGUUUCUAUUAAUUACUAAUUGACCCAUGAUGAUAUGAUCUAAUAUUGGGUUAUGUUCUUCUAGUGUCGAUAAGUGAAUAAUAGCACCAAUUAAUACAUGAUCUCUAGGAUAUUAACCAAUAAAAUUAAGUAGCCCAAGAUGGAAUGGUCUAAUAGCGGGCCCUGUUCUUUGAUUGCUACAUAAUGAAUAAUAUGAAUUUUUCAACCCGCAAUAAGCCUCAUAUAUAGGUGUGCUCAUCAUUUGCAAAUAACUGAGGAUAGAAAGGUCCAAUAGUAGAACUUGUCCUUUAAAUGUUUUCUAAUAGAUAAUAAGAACUAUACAUCGAAUAACAUACAUACUAGUUUAGGUGAACCAAAAACAAAACACAUUUAUCAUUAAAAACAAACAACAAUGCAGCUUACCUUGAGUAGGAUGUAUAGGGUUAUGUCUAUAUUACCUAAUACAUAACCAACCCCUUACCUAGAACUUCUAAAGAUCAGUUAGGAUUUCUAGUUACUAUAAAUCUAGGUGACGACUUUUUUUCACAUAGCUCGCCUCGAUGUUCACAUGCAACACAAGUUUGAGCAAGUGAACCGAGUUACAUGUUGACCCUUUAAGUCACUCGAGUUUGACUGGAUCAUUGUCCACUUCUGUUCAGAAGAAAAUCAAAACAAAACAAGGUUUUGGGUCAACGAAUCAGGAAUGCAUCCUGUUGGACUAGACCAAGUUUAAUGACUAUGACUUACAUAACUUCUCGUAGAAAUUGCACUUGGAUCUAAGUUUUUUGAGGUAAAAAAAUAUUAUAAAAAUAGCACAAUUAAUUAGUUGCAUUGUUAGGAACGAUUCAACCAUAUAAAUUACGUUGUUCUCAACCAUACAAUUCAAUAUGCUACACUAUUAAGAAUAUCGUAAACCUUGUCAUAAUCCAUUUUUUGGUUAUUCCCAAAAUUCACUUUUUCUCUUCCAAAAAAUGAAACAAAAUAUUAAAAAAAAAAUCUAAAAAAUAAUAACAGUGAGAAGAGGCUGUCAGAGCGCCCUGAAAAUAGCUAAAAAUUGGUUGAGGAGGCUCAAAAAUUCAAAGAUUAAAAUUUGACAGUAUAUUUUACAGAUGAAGAGCCCUGUUGACAAAGAAAAAUUCAAUUUGAGGAAAAAGUCCAAAAUCAGAUGUUUAUGGACUCAAUUAAAUUUUAUUGGAGGUUUAAUUGAAUUUAUAUAGGGUUUGAUUACAAGAAAAAAUUAUUUAAAGUCAAUUUAGGCUUUAAUUGGAGGAAAUUAAGGUUCUGGGUCAAAAUACAAUUUUUUAGAGUUGAUUUGGUCAAAUCAGGGGCUUAAUUGAAUAGAUAUUGAAGUUUGAUGGCCAAUUAGGGACUUGAUUGAAGAAAUCCAAAACCAAGGACCAAAUUGAAAAAGGCGCGUAAAUAAAGGGACUGGAAUUGACCAAAGCAGGGGUCAAAUUGAAGAAAUUGGAAGUUUAUUGAUCAAUUAAGGGUCAAAUUGCAUAAAUCCAAAACCAAGGACCAAAGGGAAAAAUGCGCUGAAAUCUGGGGUUUAAAUUGAAGUUCUUCAUGGGUAAAAUUGAACAAAAUUAAAAGUUUAAAGCCAAUCAGGGGUGUUGAUAGAAAUUAAUCACAAAUUGAAGGACUAAAUCGUAAGAUACUAUUCAUCUUCUUCUCCAGCUAGGCUGGUUGGGUGGCCACCUUCCCAAGGCAUUUGGCGCCUCGUUUCUUCACCAAAUUGGAUGAAACGUACAAGAAAACAAUCCUGUGAUACCUGACUACACGCUAGUGUAAGACGUUCGGGUUGAUCGAGGCUGUAGAGGCGGUGGCACCGCCCCAAAGUGGCCAACCCGACCAGCCAUUUUUCCUGCAAACUGACAGUUCAUCAUUGCUACUUUGAGCUAAUGGUUGGGAUGCUUUCGGGUUGAGCCAAUGGUUGGGAUGCUUUCGGGUCGAACCAAGAGCUGAGAUUUUGCACCAGAAGAGACAAAGUGUCCCUCUUCCGCCACCUAUAAAUAGAUUUUAUCUUCAUGCUCAGGGGGUGGAGAAAUAUGGGUCCAAAGACAGCAAAAAAACCAGCCUUCCUCCCAAGAAUUUUUUCUUUUCUGCCGUCUGCCUCUUCACACUCUCUCUCUCUACGCCGUCCAGGCCACCACUGUCAUCACCGUCAGCUUUUAAGCCACCAUCUCCACCACAGGAAGCCAACACAGCCACCACCGCUUGCACCACGCUGUCCUCCGCCACUGUCAGAACCACCGCAGGUCAGCCUUCCCCCCCUUCUUCUUCUUCUUCUUCUUCAUCCCAGCUGUUCACUGCGUGAACAGUAGACGUGAAUUAAUUCAAUAGGCGUGAACAGUAGGCGGCCCAAUCACAAAAAUUUUCAAAAAAAUAUUUUAAAUUUUUAUACCGUAAAGAUACAAAUGCGAUAUUAAAAUACCCGGUUUUCGUCAUAACAUUGCAAAAAAAUUUAUAAAACAAAAAAAUAUUUUGUUUUCAUGCAUACAGCCAAGUCUCUCCAAGAUAAAAAAAAAAUUAUAUCAUUUUUUCUUAUACAAAAAAAAAAUAUAAAAAUAUAAAAUAUGUUUUAGCAUGCAUUUUGGCUUUAAUAACAAGUUUAUUAGAGCUAUGAGAACUAGGCCAAUAUUUAAAAAAAACCCAAAAAAAAUAUUUUGUUUUCUUUUAAUAUCCGGGAUUAUGAAUUUAUACGUAAAGCAUACUUCUGAUAUUAAAAAGGUAGUUUUUUUAUUUGACGUUAGCACAGUUAGGUUUUUACCCGAUAAGAUAAAGACCUCCUUACCGAGGAGGACUUUUCUUGAGCCAUAGAUAGACCAAAAAUUAGAGAACACAAUAAGACCUUAGUUUUUAUCAGACAAUAAAACAAUGCAACUUACCUUAGGUAGGACGUAUUUGGGUACUAAUACCUUCCCUUUACGCAUCCAGUCCCCGUACUCGAUCUCUGAGACCAAUUAGAGUUCCUAGUGACCAAAAUACUAGGUGGCGACUCCCAUUCAAUUUUUUCCAUUGAUAAAAGACAAGAAUUCCUUGUCUUUCCAUGUUAGUUGUAGUGAAAUUAAAGUUCAAUAAAAUUCUUUAACUUUAUAGGUUAAUUAAUAAUUAUCAAUGAAAAUAAUUAGUUGUAGUCGAUAUAAAUUUUCUUAACUUGGUUAAUUAAUAAUUAUCAUAAUUAUCACACCAUGACAAAUGCGAGACUCUUCAAAAUUGAAGGAAAAAAAAAUAAUGAAGUCACCACCUAGUAAUAAAAAAAAAACUAGAAAUCCUAAAAUAGACACCGGUCAGUAGGUAUUGAGUUAGUUAUACCUAUGUCACCCUUACCGCAUCCUUUCAAACGAAAGGUUACCUCCACAAUGUUUUGUUCUAAAUUUAUUCUAUGCAUCCUUUCAAACGAAAGCUUACCUCCACAAUGUUUUGUUCUAAAUUUAUUCUAUGCAUACUAUUAAUGCAUACGAAAAGAAGACUCGACGAUAAAAGAAAAUCUUGACGUUAAUCCCUAAAAAUAGAUAAUUUCAUCGAUUUAGAAAAAAAUAUUAAUGUUAAUCUCUACUGUAUGUUUUUUAAAACACCUCCACACACAAAACCCUUCAUACUGAAAAACUAAACAUAUAAGAAAAAUCAAACAUCCACAUUAAAAUUUCAUAAUUGAGGGCAUCAUACCCCAUAAGUUGCCACACCAUAGUGUAAAUCCCAACGCUUUAAAUAUCGCAAACAUUCACAUUAAUACAUGAUUAGUCUCAAUCAAUAAGCAUUUCAUCAUAAUGUCUAACAACAUAAUAAAAAAUUAUUCAAAAAAUUAAUUUAGGCCUCAACAACCUUUUAGAGUGGCUAAAGUUAAUCAAAACAAUUGGAAUUGGGUGAAGAAACUAUUAGAUUAUUGAGGGCAAUAUUGGCAUAUGACAACCACGUGCUAGUGUGUGAUAACAAUUAUUGGUGGUAUCUGGUCCCAUGCGCCAAUGAUGGUCACAGAGGUGGUUAGCUAGAUCGGGUGUGCCACUAUAUUCUUUUCUCUUCCACAUUGGUGGUGUAGUCCACCACUCUUUGACGAGGGAGAUUGAGCCACUUGAACAUUUAAUUUCUCUCUCUUGUUUUCCUUCUCUCCCCACCUCUACUUCCACUGUUACUACCUUGCUACUACUGGUUAAGAAGCUAUUGUGAUGAUGUUGGAAAGAGAUUACAACAUUGAUAGUGGUGUUUUGUUUUGGUAAGUGAGAUUGAUGUUUUUCUCUAUUUUUGGGUCCCUGGAUAAAAAGGAGAAAAAAGAAAAAAAUCAAGAAAAAAAUUGUUGCAAGAAAACCAAAAAAAAUAUAUAGCAGUAAGAAGAAGACAUGGGGGCGCCCAAAAAUGGCCAAAGAUUGGUUAAGGAAGUUCAAAAAUACAAAGAUUGAAAUUUGACAGUAUAUUAUUGAUUGAUGAAGGCCAUAUUAACAAAGAAAAUUGAAUUUGAGGAAGAAAAGUCUAAAAUCAGAUGUUUAAGGGCUCAAUUAGAUUUUGUUGAAAGAUUAAUUGAGUUUACGAAGGUGAUUGCAAGAAAAAUUAAUUUUUAAGUUAAUUUUGGUUUUAAUUGGAAGAAAUUAAAGUUUGAGAGUCGAAUUAUAAUUUUUAGGUGUUAAUUUGAUCAAAUCAGGGGUUUAAUUGCAUAAAUAUUGAAGUUUGAUGGGCAAUUAGAGACUUGAUUGAAGAAAUCCAAAACCAAGAACCAAACUGGAAAAGGUGCAUGAAUAUAAGGGCUGAAAUUGACCAAAUCAGGGGUUAAAUUGAAGAAAUUUAAAGGUUUUUGAUCAAUUGAUGGUCAAAAUGCACAAAUUCAAUACUAAGGACUAAAGAGAAAAAGAUGGCCAACAUCAGAGGUGACCUUUGAAUUUGGCAAGGAUGCAAUUGAAUUAAUUCUUAAAAUCAAAAUUCCAAUUGAGAACUUGAUGAAUAAAUAAAAAGCUAAGGACUGAUUUGGAAAUUGAUACAUUUUGGUGCCAUUUUCAUUUAAAUGAAACGACGCAUUUUGUACAAAAUAACGUUGUUUCAUUCACUGUUCAUAUAUAAAAAAAGAAGCUUGUUUUGAACUGCAUUGUGCAUCUUCUUCUUCCCUUGACGCGCAAAGGCAGGGGAAGAAAGUUUUUCUUCCCCUUACUUUCUUCCCCUUCUUUGCAGUGUCUCCCCUCCCUCUUGCCCAAAAACCCUGACAUAACCCACACCCCCUCAUGACCUACCACCAUGAUGAAAGGGGCAGGGAAGACAAGCCCUGCAGGUGACUCUAGGGUGAUUGCACAGAGGCCGCCCCAGCCACCCUACCCCGUCACCAUGACUAGACAGGGGUAGGGUCGCUCUCACUCCCCUACCCCUUAUAAAUACCCCCUCACCACGAGGUGAGGAGGGAGAAAAAAAAGGGGGAUGAUGAGAACAAAAGAAGAAGAAGGAAUGGAAAAAAAUAAAAAGUAGGAGAGGGAAGGAAAAAAACGAAAUAGAAAAAAAUAGAGAAUAGAGUUUGUUGGGCCGAAAUCGGCCCAAGUUUGUUGGGCCAACCUCGGACCAGUUUGUUUGAGCCAAAUCUCGGCCCAACCAGGGUGGGUUCAGCCCACAUUAUUGGGCUGGGCCCAACACAAUAUAUUUUUAUAAUAUAAUAUUAAUAUUAUAUAUUAUUCAAAAAAACAAAAUGUUCCAAGAAUUUUCAAAAAAACUUUUCAAAACAUUUGUGAUUUUCUCGUGUAUUUUUCUAUCAAUUUUAAUUAAUAUUGGUUGAUAUUUUUAUAUUGUAAAAAUACAAAUCUGGUAUUAAAAUACACAGUUUUCUCCGUAAAUGUUGUGUGUGUGUGUAUUUGAAAAACAAAACAAAUGCUUUGUUUUCAUGCAUAUGACCAAGUCUCUCAAAAUAUAAAAAAAUAUUUCAUAUCAUAUUUUCAUGCAAAUAAUUUUUUUAAAAAAAUACGUGUGAGCAUGCAUUUUGAGCUUUAAUAACUAGUUUAUUAAAGCCAUGAGAACUAAGCUCAUAUUUCAAAAAUAUCAAAAAAAAAUAUUUUGUGUUUCUUUUAGUUUCUGAGAUUACAAACUUUUAUAUAUAGACAUUAGAACAAUUAGGUUUUUACCAAUAUUAAAAAUAUAGUUCUUUUAUAUAUAGAUUUUAGAAUGGUUAGGUUUUUACCCGAUAAGAUUAGGAUCUCCUUACCGAGGAGAUCUUUUCUUAAACCUUAGACAAACCAACAAUUAGAAAACACAACAAUACUCUAGUUAUAUCAGACAAUCAAAUAAUGCAUCUUACCUUAGGUAAGGAGUAUAAGAGGUGUUAAUACUUUCCGUUUACGCAACCAGUCUUCGUGCCCAAUCUCUGAGACCAGUUAGGGUUUAUAGUGAUCAAAAUACUAGAUGACGACUCUCAUUUCCUCUUUCCACUAAUAAAGGACAAAAAUUCCUUAUCCUAUCCAUUUCCCCACACCACAUGCCAAUAUGGAAUUUCAGGAGGAUGUUCGCGCGAUGUUGCAUCAUGUACGACAAUUGAGAAAAGUGAUGGUUGGAUUUUGGUCUCGACUUGAGUUGUUUUGGUUGUGAUAUUGGUGAUCGAUGUUGCUAUUAUCAUUAUUAGUGUAUGUCAUUGGAAGCUGCUAUCAGUGGUCGGUGAAUUAAGUGUUCCACUAUUAAUAACAAAUGUUGAAAUUAAUUCAAUUAAACAUAAUUAACGAAUAAUAUAAUUAAAUUGCAUAAAGUAAAGUGUAAAAGGAUAGGAAUUGUAAACUCAGUUUUUAACAUGGUUUUGGCAAGUCUAUACCCACACCUCAAGCACCUAAAUUGGUCUUGUGUAUUUUGUUCUUUCACUAGUCCAAGUUGAAGAUUACAAUUGUCACUUGAUGAAUCCACACCAAGAUUUUACACCACUUGAAGAUAUUCUUUUUAUGACAGUUUGAACCUGCUGAAUCUUGAACCGAUACUAAUCCUAUAUAUAUACAAAGAAGUGUUUGAGUUCAUUUUAAUUAUGGCAUUAAAAUAAAAUAUAAAUAUUUAUAUAAUUACUGCAAUGAACAAUUAAUUCUUAAAUUCUCAUUUCAUCUUCAUUUUCUUUGGUGGCUAGGUUUUAGAGAAGAAGAAGACUCUUUUUUUCUACACUUUCACUCCAUUUUGUUUCUUUCUCUAUCUUAAAUUUUUCUUCAAGGUUUGCUAGGGUUUCUUACCCACUUUUUGUUUUCCCUCUAAUUUUUAUGUAGAGGCUAGAGUUUUUUUUUACACCUCCUCCUUUUUCUUACCUUGCCUUUCUAUUUAUAGGCUAUGGGGUAGGUUCUAGAAUCUUUAUAGGUAGAACAAUCAUAUUCUUUGAUUUUUUUCGGUACAUUUGACCCUUCAUCAUUGUUGUAUAUUUGGCAGAACAUGCUCGUGUUCUAUAAAGCUCACACCAAAUCUUAAUCAUAAAGAGUGGGAAUGAGAGAGAGAAAAAAGAAGAAGAAGAAGAAGAAAAUGGGGCUGAAAAACUUCACUGCCAUUUUUCAAAAUCAGACGACCCGUUUCCUUUCAAAGGGUAGCCAAAAAGUUCCCAUACACACCCAUUAGCGAGCUUCUUCUUUACGAAAAAAAAAACUAAAAAAAUUAGAUCAUCAUUUUCAAACCACCUUCUAGCUAGAACUGGAAACAAAAAAACAGUACAGACUCUCUCAUCAGCGCUGUCUCUUUACGCCACCCUCGAGUUACUACUAUCUUGCCCCACGUUGACUCAAGGAACCAUAGCCGCUGCUUCCACAGUACCGUUAACCUGAGGUGUUCAUUACCGGAAUCAUAACACAAGGCAGGCCAGGAGCCCACUCACGUCGUCCAUGUGCAUCUUCAGCGUGCUCGUUUUACAUUCUUGCCUCUGACCUCUCUGGACUUAGCUUUAUUCAAGCACUAGCCACUCAAAAAAAGAGUGAAGAUGAGGUACGGGAUAUCCAGUGGAGCUGUCUCCAUCAUAAUCACUCAAGGUAUAAAGCUUCCACCUAUUCUCAUGUAGUUGUAAUCUUUUUGCAUGUGCAUGCUACUGCAAAGGCAAGCUCCCGUUUUUCCUUUAUGUGCUAUGAAGUUAACAUAUAGUGUUGUAAGGUGUGUGGAUCUUUUAAGUCCUAACCUGGUCACGGGUGUUCUUUCACUUGCUACGGGUACUGAAGGGGAUGGGGUGUGAUUUUUCCUUCAAACGCAUAUGGUCUUGAAAACUUGAUUGCAUGUCCUAAGGUCAUGUUAAGACCUUGCCUAGUUAAUUAAGAAUGCUCUUACCCAAGGUUAAAGUUCAAGAACGGUAUGAGAAGGUGGAAAAAGAUGUUGACAACUAUUGGGGUCAUAGGUUUUCCUUUUUUUUUUUUUGUCUUCAGAAAAUAAAAAUGCAUAGGACUGUCAGGGAGUUUUUCCAUACCAUGCUUGGGCUUCGGAUGUAUGUUUCCUUUACGUACAUGAGAUGAUGGUUACCUUGCUUUACGUACAGAAAUCUCCAAUGACUAAAUAAAAUGAUUUUUGGUUGAAGAAGAAUCGGUAUGUGCAAGGGUUUCUGGUUCAUUUCUUUUUACUGUCCCAUGGCUUUUCGUUAAUGCUAGUACAGCUAUAUUUCUCUUUUCUAAAGUUAAGUAGGUUGAUAUAUAUAGAAAUCGGUUUAUCACGGGUUUAAGAAUAUUAAAGAAAAAAAAAAAAAAAAAGCUUUCAUGGGUCUUCAAGGCACAAACACUCAUAUGACAAAUUUUAAGUUUUCUUUUUCACUAAGGACAUGUGUGGUAAAUAUGACCAAACAUAUUUUUCAUGGCCUUUAUUUUCUUUUCUUAAUUUUUUUUUGUUUUGUCUAACAUAUCUUAGUCUAAUUUUAAUUAUUUUUCAAGUUUUGAAGAGCCAUUUUGCAACUAUAUUUUUGGUUUUCCACGUCAUUUUUUACCUUUUCAUAUUUAAAAACAAGUUUAUUAAAUCCACAGGGAUUUGGCCUAAGUUUUAAAAAUACUAAAAAAAUUAAUUUGUUUAUUUUAAUACAAUGAAUUAUGAGCUUAUAUCUAAAAUGUAUUCUCGAUAUUAAAAGGAACAAAUGCAAAAAUAUGUUUUGGCUCUAGAAUGGCUAGACUUGACCCAUAAAGCCAUGGUUCUCUGUACUAGGGUAGACCUUCUUUAACUAAUAGACAAAUCAAUGAUUAGAUAAAGAAAACAGUGCCUUAGUAAUAAUCAGAAAAAUAAACAAUAAAGCUUAUCUUAGGUAUGAUUACUAAGGGUGAUAAUGUCCAUCCUAUAUACAACUUGUCCCCUUGUCUAGACUCUGAAGACUAGUUAGAGUUUUCAGUGAUCAAAAUACAAGAUAGCAACUCCAAGCAUUUUUUAUUUAUAAAGGACAAGAAGUCCAUGUUCUUUCCACACCACACCAAAGUCCUGAUCUAGGAGGAUGAUCGCAAUGAUACCACAUCCGUGCCACAUUCAACAUUGUAUUUUCCAUGAGUUAUCCUUUCUAUUUUUCAAUUACUUUGAUCCAAAUAAUGUGUUACCCUCUCAACAUUCUUCAAAGUCAACAUGUACUUCUACUAAUUGAUCUAAAUAUGAAUGUGAUGCGAUGUAAAUGAGUAUACAAGAUUAAACAUAUGGAAGAUGGGACUUUUUAGCACUACAAAACAUGUUUGGUGGCCAAAUGCUAUUAUCGACAAAAAAGGGUUUGAUUUUCAAGAGAUAUUUAGUGUAGUGAGGAAGCCUUGCACUAUUUAGACAAUGCUCGAUAUUGGUGAUACUUGAGGUUGGUCGGCUUAUUAGAGGGAUUUCUUCAUUUAGAUGUGUUUAUAACCCAAGCCAGGUUGUUAAAAUCGCGAGUUAUGAGUCAACAUGUAUCUAACGUGCUAAAUCGGACUAAAAACUCAAAAAUAGUAAAAUCAGACUUGUGCAAAAUCAGUAAAAUCGGUAAACUCAGUCCGAUUUUAUGAGUUUACUAAAUUUGUGAUAUGAAUCAAGUCAGGUUCAAAUUUGGCCUUAAAAUAUCUGCUGACUAGUUUUGCGAGAUUGAGCAUAUAUUUCAAACUGUAUAUUGGAUAAAACUGAUAUUUUACAGGAAAAUAUUAGAUACAUAAACAUAUAUUGUGGUAAAUUGUUAGGUCAAAUAGAGUUAGGAAACAUAAUUUUAGAGGGUCAAAGUUAGUAAACUAAUAUUGUCAAAUAUGUCAAACAAGUCCUUCGUGUACUGUUUGGAACAUAUCCAGAGCUACCGGUGGAAUUUUGCUUCAAUUAAAGUUGGGAUAGAAACUAGACAUCUGAAACUUUCCAACUAUAUACGUAGGCCCAAGAAUUCAUCCAAACAAGAGAGAAUGACAUGUUUGAAAUCAGGACUCAAAUCUACCAAGAAUAUGCAAAAAAUAGAAGAUUCAGGUUACAUGGAUGAAUUUUAACAUGAAGACUUUUUUAUUAUUCUAUUUUAUUUAUUUAAUUUUAAAUAAUUAUUUUUAAUUUGAAUUUUUUCUAGCGCAUUAGACAUUGUUUAGGAAUUUGUUUUAUUAUUGAAUUUAUGUUAGUUAAUUACUAAUUUAAACUUAUUAGCUUGCAACCCAAAAGGGGUCUAUCAAGACUUAUUGUGAUAGGAACAACCAGGUUGUCACUAGGUUUAUGUGUGCUUCCUACCUUUCAGUGAUUCCCUUGUAUUGAAAAAUUUUGUUCUGUGACUUUUUAUUUCUCCAUGUCAUUAAUUUAUUGAUUCAUACUAUCUAUCUCUCUCAUUUUAUUUAGAUCGCUCAUUGAUUAUAAUAUUGUUGACUCAUUUUAUUAGAUUUUAAUGUAAUUUAAUUUCUUGACUAAAAUUAUCAAUAUAUAAUUAGUUAAAAAAUUAUUUAUGAUUUUACGAUUUUACGAUCUGAGUUUAUUUUAUAUUUUUCGUGUCGUGUCAAAAAAUAUUUUUGACAACCUUGAACCCAGGCUCUUGACUUUAUUGAUCCACAAUCCCCAAACCAUAUUCGCAAACUAAAACUUUUUUUUUAUAGUUUAAAACAAGCACCUCGUGCAUGUAUUGAUUGCUUAGUGAAUUCUUAGUUUCUCAAUGGAUUUUAUAUUCGUAAAUUUUUAAGUGAACCCAGGUUAUAUUAUCAUGAUAACUAAAAUAAAAUGAGCUAAAUUUAUUUAUAAAAUGAGCACCACACGCUUAGAUUUAAAUUCCAUAGAAAGAUUAGCACCUGAUGACAAGUUAACUCGGGAAACAAAGGUAAUAACAAAGUUUUGAGAUUGAAUUCGACACUAGGUCUACUUAGUAGUUAGUACAUAUAAGUUGAAGGAUUGCUACCUUGACCAAUGAACUGAAAAUAUCUUUAAUUUAUAAUGAAUGGCAUACACCAUACAGUUUUACCAUAUCAACAGCAUGAAAAUUGAUAAUCGAUCCUUUAGGGAUAUUAUUCCAUUUCUUUAUUAAUUAUCAUAAAAACAUUUAUUAAAUGUGUUGUCCUCCAACUCUUUCCAUAAAAAGAAAGAGUUGUGAACCACAACAUACAUUUGAUCAUGGACAAAAGGUAAUCAAAUAGUUGCCUCCACUAGGACAAGUAAACGUGCUCGAUUUAUCAUCAAAAGCAUAACUAUAAGCUUGAGGACACUGCUGCUUGAAAGUCAUCGAAUAUUGGGUAGGAGGACAUGUUUCAGCUGUAUUAUACUCUCCUGUGCAGCAGUACUGCGGCUGGUUAAAUGCCAAACACGCACUCUUGCAGGCAAUCACAGUCCCAUCUGAACCUUUCACUGCUAAACUAGGAUCACAAACAGCAUUCACGUUAGCUGCACAGCUUGUAGAAGGGCAGCCAGUAGAACCUCCUUGCGGGGUUACCGAAAUUGGGAGGUUAAAGCCAUCAACAAGGCUUAUAUCGUAAUAAUCUUUCCCACCAUCACCGCUUAGAGUAAAUUCUGCCAAGGAUGCUGGUGGGAUCGCACCGGCUCCAUUGCAUUCUAUGACACCAGAGCCACAGUCAGCAGUAGCACAAACAAACUUUCCCGAGGCAUCUGUAGAGCAUUGCGUUCUGGCCCACAAGCGGCCAGACCAAUUGACAGGGACACUCAGCGAAGAUGAAGCACCCGUUGCCAAUGUGAAGCCAGUUGAAGAUAAAGACGGACCGCCAGCAGCCGUUAGAGUUCCUGGCCAGACUGUGUAUGGACAGUUGUUUGUGAAGUCGAAAGUCACAGAUUGAGCUCCUGCAUGCGUGCAAGAUUUAUUUUUGUUGAUAUCAAUAAUUAAAUCUUGGUCGAUUCAAAGAUAACAUAAUUCAAUAUUUAAAAUCUUGUAUUAAUUCAGUUAUUUUUCUUUUAAAAAUAUAACAUAACCCAUGUUUUUUUUUAAUAUAUUUUUUUCUUUUUUCUUUUUUAUCUGGAAACUCCCUCCUGGAUAAAUUUAUUGGAUUCACGAAAUCCAUUGAAUAAUGAAAACUAGUUAAUAUUGCAUACGCAAACAGAAAAUAUAUAUGUAGAAUAAUCAAAGUGAAUAAUAUGCAUAAUAGAGUUUUCCAUGCAAGAAUCUAGUAUAUGUAAUAUUGUAAAACUACUUGCCAUAGAGGAAGAUGACGAGGGUGAAGGUAAUUAUAGCAAUAUUGGGCAUACGACUCUCCAUUGCCGAGAUGCGUCGAAUUAAGACCUUUUCAGUAUCUUUCAAGAGAUUUGAGGUAACCAAGAAACACUCUAUAUUUUAAAAAUAUUAUGAAAUGAGCAGACUUAAUAAAUAGUGUAAAAUUUGCAGACUAGUAAACAGAGGAACGUCCUGCUUCUCACGUCAAAUGAAAGCAACACCCAAUUGAAUAUUGAAUGCAACUCUGGUCCAGCAGACGAGCCGUGAUGAAUGUGAGAGUCUUCAAAAUUAAAGAAAAAAAAUUCACCACCUAUUAAUUAAAAACUUUAGAAUUUAAAAAUAGACAUUGGUUAGAGAUUUAGACAUUGAGCUAGUUAAGUCUAAGAAAGAUCAAUAUCACCCUUAUCAUAUCCUUUAAAAUGAAAAGUUACCUCCACAAUGCAUUUAAGAAAAAUUAUUCCAUGCAUAAUAUUAAUUAUCUAAAUUUAUUUCUAAUCUUUUCGUGAUUUAUUUUAAUAAAAAAUUGGCAAUUCAAAAUUUAUUUCUCAUACAGACUAAACUAGAACUAUUUAUCAAGAAUUAUUUGUGCUAAUAAAUAUUAAAGAAACUCGUUAAUGAUAAGUAAAGACUAAACUAGGAUCAAAUUGAUGCUUAAAAUCAUAAUUCUCCAUUAAGUUAUCAAACAAUUCUGAAAAUUUGUGUGGACCCUUCUAAUAUGAUACUUUAACUUGAGUUAAAAUUUCAGAGUUUUUGAAGAAAGUCAGAAAUUUGAUGAAAAAUCACAAUUUUACCAGUUUUACGUUAUUGGGCGUAAUUUUCAAUCCGACCAUCCAAUUGAGCUGAAAUUUUACAAGGAAUCUUCAAAUAUAUUGAAUAAAAUCUGAUUAAAAUCUGAUUAAAUGAACGGAGCUUGGUAGUGCUAACAAAAAAAAGGACCGUCAAAUAAAAGCAAAACAACUCAUUAAGGGCAAAAUAGUUAUUUGCCAUUAAAAAUAAAACAAAUUAUCUCUUCCUUCUUUUUAUAUGUUGCCGACUGAGCAGAAGCAAAAUAGAAAAAGAAAGAAAAGAAAAGACGAGAGAGAAAGAGAGAAACGUAAGGGAAAACAUAAAAAGAAAAAUCAAAGGAAAAAAAAUAAGUGAGAGAAUAACCUUGUACACUUAUAAAGUCCGACUUAUAAAACACUAAUCUUAGAAAGAAUCAAGUGAAGGAAUGAGGAAUUGAGAAAGGGAAAAAAAUUUAAUUAUUUUUUUUCCAGUUGAUAUGAGAUUGUUAUUUUAUCCUGGUUAAGGGGUUGUUACAAUAUCGAUUCAGAUUCGAUUAUAAAUGAAUUAUAUUCCACAAAACAUCGAAGGAUAUAACUUCAAUAGUAGGUUUAUUUUUACUUUCACUUCAAUUUUAUGUACUUUUAAAUUUAUUUUUUAAUAUUUUGGAUAAUGUAUUUCAAUUAAAAUUUUACUGUUAACUUAAAAAAUUCAUAUACAUAAGUUAAUAAUUGAUCUUAAAAAAAUUUAUAUAUUUAUUUAAUAACCCAGGACGGGAAAAAUUCUUGACUCUGCUGGUAACAACCAUCUUCCACACGCACCGUCUCAUCCACGAUGACAUUUGACAAUGAAUGUCAAAUUAUAAAAUUAUAAUUUAUUUAUAUUUAUAAAAAAUUAAAUUAUAAAAUUGGGUCUAUCACCUAAAGUGCGCAGAGACCGUCCAUGCACUGACCUGCACUCAUCCAAAAAUUGAAUAUUGAAUGUAACUCUGGUCCAGCAGACGAGCCGUGAUGAAUGUGACCCUCUUCAAAAUUAUCACACCGUGAUGAAUGCGAGAUUCUUCAAAAUUAAAGGAAAAAAAAGUCACCACCUAUUAAUUAAAAAAUUUAGAAUUUAAAAAUAGACAUUGGUUAGAGAUUUAGACAUUGGUUAGAGAUUUAGACAUUGUGCUAGUUAAGUAUAAGAAAGAUCAAUAUCACCCUUAUCAUAUCCUUUAAAAUAAAAAGUUACCUCCACAAUGCAUUUAAGAAAAAUUAUUCGGUGCAUAAUAUUAAUUAUCUAAAUUUAUUUCUAAUGUUUUUCGUGAUUUAUUUUAAUAAAAAAUUGGCAAUUCAAAAUUUAUUUCGCAUACAUAUUAUUAAAUAAAUCAAGAAUUAUCUAUGCUAAUAAAUAUAAAAGAAACCCGUUAAUGAUAAAUAAAGACUAAACUAGGAAAAUUAAGAGAUAAAUAUAAACCAAAAUAUUUGAUAUCGCAACACGAAGCAUGUACCUAGUUGUGUUUAAUAAUUUAUUUAUUUGAAUAAAUUUUGUAUUUAAUAAAAUGAUUAUCCGUGCCAAUAAAAUGAUGUCUACCCAAUACAUUUUUUUUUGUAUUUCAAAAUAUUAUGAAAUGAGCAUCACAUGCUUAUAUUUAUUAAAUUAUAUUAUAUUAUAUUAAAUGAAAAAAAUAUUUAUAAAAAAAAUAAAUUAAAAAACAAAUAAAAAUACUCGAGAUAUCCCAAGUCCUUUUCAAAAUAAGUGAAAAAUCCUAUAGAAAAAACAAAAAAAAAACCUUCUAGAGGAUGAUAUUUUAAAAAAAAAUUCAAAUUAAAAAAUGAUCUCAAAUAAAAAAAUAAGAAUUAAAAGAACAGGGACAAAAUUUGGAAGAUGAAAAAACCAAAGGGAAUGAAAUUGUCAAAGAAUUUCAAUUUUAUAAAUUAUUCCAAACAAAACAAGUAAUAAUCAAAAGAACAGGGACCAAUUAAUAUGAAGGAAUAACAAAUUGAAGGCGUGCUUUGAAAUUUUGAAGGGGCACACACGAAAAUCAAGGGGAGAGUGCGAAGAAAAAGAAAAAGAAAAGCUUGUCGGCACCAAACCGAACAACUAUUUGCCACACACGUUGCCUCAUCCACAACGGCCUUUGUUCAACGAAUGACCCUACACCCGCCACCUGAAGUGCGCGGAGACCGCCCAUACACUCACCUGCACUCAUCAACUAUUUUUUUAAUAUUAUUUAUAUUUAUUAAAUUAUAAAUUUGGAAAUAAAACACCCUGAUAAAAAAAACCCAAUGAAAUAUACAAAUGCCCUUGGUUUGAACCACAAGUGACUAACUUAGAUAUCUCAAUUUAUGAGAAAGCAGAAUAGUAAACAGGCAAUUAGAGGAACGCCUUGCUUCUCACGUCAAAUGAAAGCAACACCCAAUUGACUAACGAAAGCACUAAAUAUCCCAAUUAAUGAGAAAGCAGACUAGUAAACAGCCUAUUAGAGGAAUUGAAACUAUAUAUCCCAUAUCCCAGUUAAUGAGAAAGCAGACUAAUAAACAGCCUAUUAGAGGAAUUGAAUGAAAGCAAUUGAAUGCAGGAAGAGGGCCAGACUAGUAAACAGCCAACAGUGGGAGUUCUCCUCUAGCACAUAGUUAUUAAACCCGGCCCAGGGGUUGACCCGGCCAAGGGGCCGGGUCCCAGGUUUCAUGGGUCGACCCAGGUCGACCGGGGUCAACCCGGAAAAAUUUAAAAAAAUUAAAGUUUUAAUAUUUUAUAUGAAAAAAUUAAGAAAAAAUCCAUGUAAAUAUAUGUUAUACAUAUUGUAAAUAAUGAAGUUUAAAAGAAUAUUUUAAAAAAAAUUUAUUCUGCAUUAAAAAUAUAUUAUGUUAAGUUUUUAAAUUGAAGUAUUUAAACCAAAAAAUUUUCUUAUCCCACAUUGAAAAAACAUAGUUUUUUUCUUAUGAACAUAGAGUAUAUAUACUAAUGAGUUUCAAAUCCCACAUUGAAAAAAGAUAACUUUUUUCUUGGGAACAUAGAGUAUAUAUACUAAUGUGUUUCAAAUGUCACAUUGAAAAAAGAUAAUUUUUUUCUUGGGAACAUAGAAUAUAUAUAUUAAUGGGUUUCAAAUCCCACAUUGAAAAAACAUAGUUUUUUUCUUGUGAAUAUUGAGUAUAUAUACUAAUGGGUUUCAAAUGCCACAUUGAAAAAAGAUAACUUUUUUCUUGGGAACAUAGAAUAUAUAUACUAAUGGGUUUCAAAUCCCACAUUGAAAAAACAUAGUUUUUUUCUUGUGAAUAUUGAGUAUAUAUACUAAUGGGUUUCAAAUCUCACAUUAAAAAGAUACUAUGUUAUCAUUUUAAGUUUUUUAUCCCACAUUGAAAAAACAUAAUUGUUUUCUUGGAAACACAAAGUAUAUAUACCAAUGGGUUUCAAAUCUCACAUUUGAAAAAAAAAACACUGGUUCUCACCCGGGUCGCCCAGGUCACGGGUUGACCCACUAGGUUUGAACGGGUCGUUGCACUGACCGGUCUUUUGACAAACUUGGACCGGUCCAACUCCCGGGUCGGCCGGGUCCCGGGUCAACCGGCAAGGUCAGGCCGGGUUUAAUAACACUGCUCCAGCAUGUGAAACCGAGGAGCCGUGAGGAAUGCGACACUCUUCCAAAUUAUCCCUUAAAAAUUUGGCAUUAAUCUUUAAAAAUAUAUGAUUUCAUCGAUUCAGGAAAAAUUGGACAUUAGUCCCUAAAAUAAAUAAUUUCAUCAAUUUUUGAAAAAUAUGAUAUUAAUUCUUAAAAAUAGGAGAUUUCAUUGAUUUAGAAAAAACAAUUAACAUUAAUCCCUAAAACUAGGUGAUUUUCUCGAGAUAUAUGUGUUUGUGUGUGUGUGUGUGUGUAUAGAACAUUUAUAU
rnacentral:lncRNA from 1 species